rnacentral:lncRNA from 1 species
GAGCCGUAGUACUCACUAGUCAUUGAGAGGUCAUCAUGAUGUUGCGGGGAGCCAUAGUACUCACUAGACAGCAAGAGAUUGUAAUGAUGGGUGUUCUCCGAUCAAUGUAUGAUGCGGAAGAGUUUUGGGCUUGAGUAGCCGUAGUAUUGAGUUUUGGAGUCUGGUGGUUGAACCAGGGGGCGAGACUGGGGUCUCCGUCUCUGUCGGGAGCUUCGACGAGAUGCGCAAGGGAUACGCGCAUCAGGCACCAGAGGUCAGAGUUGAGUCGAUCCUCGGUUGGAUUGUAUUUUUUCGCAUAAGUAAAAGAGAAUUUCGUGACCUGCGUGUCACUAGGCCGGGAUAGUGGUCACGGGGAGGAAGUUAGUGAGAUAUUUUGGAUCAUCAUAUGGGUGACCUUUGGAGGCUCAGCUGUGGAGUCAAAAGCUGAACUGGAGCUCAGUAUCGAAGAGGGAUAUGAGAAAGGAACUAGAGCGUGUCAUGGUGAUGUCUGAGGACACUCUAGAGCGAGCAUACAAUUCUAACGCUCGAGGACAUGCUUCGGGUAUGUGUAUUAGAUUUCGGAGGGAGUUGUGACACGUAUUUACCAUUGGUUGAGUUUUUCCAUAUCAACAGCCAUUAUUCGAGCAUCGAUAUGCCACCUUUUGAGCUGUUAUAUGGGAGGAGGUGUGGGACUCCCAUUUGUUGGGAAGAGGUAGGGAAACAUGUGAUGGGUAGUACAGAGAUACUGCUUCAACGACAGAGCAGAUACAGUAGGUCAGACAGAGGUUGUUGACCACUCAGAGUCGCCAGAGGAGUUAUGCGGAUAGGCAUCGGUCCGAACUUGAGUUUCGGGUCGGAGAUUUUGUGCUCCUGAAGGUAUCUCCUUGGAAAGGUGUGAUCUGGUUCAGGAAGAGACGCAAACUAGGGCCCCGGUAUAUUGGUCCGUUUAAAGUGAUCGCGAGGGUGGGCAGGUAGCAUAUCGUUUGGAGCUGCCUGCAGAGUUGCGCCAGAUUCACGACACCUUCCAUGUGUCCCAGCUGAGAAAGUGUGUAGUCGACGAGUCGGCAGUGGUGCCACUGGAGAAAAUUCAGGUGGAUGUGAGCCUGAAUUAUACCGAAAGGCCAAUCGUGAUUGUGGAUCAAAGGAUCAAGGUUCUGAGGAACAAGGAGGUGCUCCUGGUUCUGGUUCAGUGGUCACAUCGGAGGGGGUCUGAGUUGACUUGGGAGACAAAGUCAGAAAUGUGGGAGCAAAAUCCGGAGUUGUUUUCAGUAUGAGACUUCGAGGGCGAAGUCUGGUUCUAGUGGGGGAGAAUUGUAACAUCCCAAGGUUCAGGUGCAGCUAUUCAACCCCCCUUCUUUUCUUUUGUGGUCAAGUUUAGCCCUUUAUUGGAAAAUGUGGCAAAUGGGUACGCCGGGUUUACUCGGGAGUACGCUGGGCGUACUCAUGCGCUUAAUUUGAACAAGGAGUCACCAAGGUACGCGGGGCGUACCCAGAGUUACGCCGGGCGUACCCGUCCCAUGUGCAAAACCCUAAUCUGGCUUGUGCACUAUUUAAAGGGUGCUAAGGCUCAUUUCUCAGCCUCCAUAUCAGUGAGUGAAACCCUAAGGGAGAGCCUCCCAUCAUUCUUGGUGUGUGUGAGUGUUGUUGGAGCUAGUUGUGCAUUGGUGGCUUAGUGAAGAAGAGGGAAAGGAGCUUUUGGAGGCUAAAGCUUGAAGUGCAAGCUUGGAUAUGAGAUCUACAGAGAAAUGGGCUACACUUAGAGGUAUAAAGUUCAAAACUUUCCUAUCCUUUUUGGUUUAUUGUUGCAUGGGUAAUUCUAUGGCUAAAAACCCCAAAGGUGGAGACUUUAUGAGUGUAAGGUGCUCCAUGGUCCGAGAUCUGUCCCUUUUCAGUGGUAUUAGUGGUUUACAUCCAUAAAGUUUCCAUCUUGGUUGUUGGUAUGAGGUCAUGCUUGAGUAAUAAGCCUUCUAGAGUUAGAGAAUGGAAUACUAUGGGAGUUGGUGACUUAUUCAGCCAUGCAAAGGCUUAAAGUCAUCAACUUUAUGGAUUAAGAGGCUUAGAAGUGGUCAGAUCUAGAAGUUGGACGUAGUUCUUAACUAUUUAAGACCUCAAGAGCUAAAGGGAUGAAGCAGGGGAGUAUGCUGGGCGUAAUCCCAGUACGCGCCGCGUACUGGGUGGUAUUCCCCGAUUCUGAGAGGCAGCCGGCUACGCUCAGCGUACAUAUCUGGUACGCGCAGCGUAACCCGGAAAAUUGACUUUUGGUUGACUUUUAGGGUAUGGUCUAUAGUGGGGCCUUUUGAGUUAUGAGAGGGGUAAAAUGGUCUUUUACCCUUCUGAGGGUGUCAUAAGAGGACAUAGUCUAGCCUUUGAGAAUUAUAUUAAAUAAGGUACUUAUUUCAUGUGAUUAGGCGGAGGCUAGACCUGAGUUUUACCGAGUCAGAGAUUUACCGAGCUACCGGAGGUGAGUCUUCUCACUAUACUUUACCUAGAGUGGUAACAGAGUUAUGUGGUAGAGAUAUUUUAUGCUAUCUAUGUGAAGUGUGGCACUGUAUUAUUUCUAUGUGAUGUAUGCUGUGUGUAUAUCAGAGUUAGGACCGGAAGGUCCACAAAGCUAGGACCAGAGGGUCCGCAGAGUUAGGGCCCAAGGGCCCACAGAGUUAUAGCCUCGAGUGGCUAAUAUGUGCUAUAUGUGGUAUUUUUAGAAUUUCAUGUCAGUGUAUUUGUAUGCUAUUUAUGUGUUGAGAUUUAUUGUCAUAUGUGAUAUGCAUGAUUCAGAGUUAUCAGAGUUAGGGCCUUUGGGUCCAUAGAGUCAGGGCCAGAGGGCCCAUAGAGAGUUGGGACUGGAGGGUCCCACUGAGACACACUGACCAGAGGGUCAAUAAAGAUUAUAGCCCCGAGUGGCUAAUAGAGUGGUAUUUUGGGGAACUCACUAAGCUCCAUGCUUACAGUGUUUGUGUUAGGUGUUUCAGGUUUCUAAAGAUCACGGGACGGCACCGGCUCGAUUAUACACACCAGAGGAAGCAUUUUUUUUAGGAUCCUGGUUUAUUAAUUAAAUGAAGAAAAUAGUCAUGUAGUGUAACUUAAACAAAAGAACGGGAUUUUAUGAAAAGUGAUAAAGAGAUAAGCAAUUUUAUAUGAAAAUUUUGUUUGAAAAUUUCAGUGUUACAAGUUUUAGCGUUUAGGUGAGUCAUGAUAGUUGUCACGGCAGCUGAGACUGUAGCUCGAAAGGUAGUUGCACCAAUCUGAAGAGUUGGUGUUUGGUUGAUGGGUUGUUUACUUUUCUUUGACGACAUGAUUCUAUUACACGAUAAGAAAAUGUGUGCGUGAGAGAUUAUGGUUGAACCUAGAUGUAUUUCAAUCAUUCAUGAAAGGAGUAGAAGUAAGUUCUCGAGGGUUUGUCCUACAUCCCUAUGAUGUAGUCCUAGUAAAGGGUAGAAGUAAGUUCAUAGAAUGGUUAGAAGACGAUUGCUAUCCAACCUUCAACAAGAAUUGGAAUUGAUCCCUAAGUUAAAUUACCAUAGCCCAAUAACUUGACUAGAGUGAGUUUCAGACAACAUUCUAAAGACAGUAUGAUGAAAGUACUUGAACAAAGAUUGACACAGAAAUUAGCCGACUGUCGAUAUCCUUGAUAUUUAUGACGUAAUAAGUUUGGGAAAAAUUGAGCUUGUAUUAGGUCUUACAUCAUAUCCGGAGUAGAAAGUUUUGACAGCAUCGAGGCCUAACUAAAAGUACUUACCGUACUGGGGUAGUUACAUAGAAAAGUGCUACAUAGGGCAUACACAAAAAAGCGAUUCCUUAAAACAAGGAAGGAAAGUAAAGCAUCUCCUAUUGGUGACGGUCAUCCCUCUAGUGAACCCUUAGUUCAACCAGUUGGCGAUUCAUAUCAAACAUGUGUCUUUCAUACACCCUCUGGCGUACGCAGAGCUCUAUGACUUCGGCUCGUGUUUCAACUAGUGCUUGUAGCAGGGCCUCGUGGUCUUUCUCAGACCUCUCACGAGCCCUUUCAAGGUGAUUAGUGCGGAUGGUAUACAUUCUGCAUUGGCAUCAACCUUUGCGAUACGAUGGAGAGCCGUCCUGCCCUGGAUUUCGUUUCGGGCAACUCUAUGGAUCAGGAUUGGCAGAACUCUGUCUGCUGACCUCAUUCACUUAUGUUAUAGAAAAUUCGGUCUCUAUUGAAUGGCAUGUGCUGAUUCUGCUCUUCGCUCCAUGUCUCCAAGCAUUCUACCCAAGGAGGCGUCGGGCCAUGAAAAUUCGGACGAGGGUUAGGAUUUGGAAUGGGAGCUACUGGGGUAGGUUCUCAACCUCGGGCUCGGAGUUAGCAUCAUACGAAAAGCCUUCAUCAUGGUGAUCAUCCAACGGGAUUGGAUGAUCAUCUUCUGGGUCUUUUUCAAACCAUCCAUCAUUGCUUUCGUUUGGAAGGUACAGGUCGCUGUGGGGAUGGAGUCCAGCCAUGUUAUCUACGUGAGAAAUGGGGAUAAAGAAAUAAUUACUAGACGUACUAACUAGAUAACUAUAAGAUAAUCUUCAUCAGUUACUUCAAUACUUGUAAUGUGCAUACCGGUUAUAUGUAAUCAAAACAGCAUAGGCCUUCGAAUAGGUGACCUUAACUCCAAGUUCACAAGGAACAGGGGGUCAAACAAAAUUUCAUAGAUUCUAAGUCUAUGUCAUCCUUGUUACAUAUAACCUUAGUGUAUCUACUUAGAAACUAUUGACCUAUUAAUGAAGAUCUUUAGUUCUCAACUAAGUAAUUAUAGUAACACAGAAUACUCCUAAUGUCUUCAUUAUGGUAGUGUUGGUAAGUUUUUAGACUUGUUGCCAUAUCACAACCAAUUUUGGGCAUAUGCUAAUCACUCCUCGGACCAACAUAGUUGAUCAGGCUAUGCCACUCGUAGGACUGAGCAUACAUCCCUGAGCUUACUUGUGAUAUUCAACAAUCGUAAUACUUUUGUUUUUUUCAUUGUGACACUGAUUUUAGUAUGUAUGCAGGCAUAUAUACUUAGUUAAAUAUUUUAUUAUUUAAUAGUAUAAACUCUUGGUCAGAGUAUUUUUAAUCACACUGUAUUUAUAGUCUGUAUAUCUUUUAUGGGUUGAUAUCCUCAAUUCACUAUAAACAAUGCUCUGAUACCAAUAUGUCAUACCCCAAAACCAAGAAUGGCAAAAAUGUUCUGGGGCAGAGGACGUCAUGUAAAGUAUCACAACAGUGUAAAGUAGUAAACAAGCAACAACAUCAUCCAGUGCAUUAAUAGUAAGGUUUUAAUACAUGUGUGUUCUUUCAUAGAAUAAGACAUGAAAAUAAGUGAUCAAAAUAAAGGACGAGUCUUGACUGCUCACUCUUCUCAAAGCUGGUCAUCGUACGUAUCUACUGUUGACCUGAGAAUACAAGUUAUUUUGAAAGCGUAGAUCAGCAUUUAAGUUGGUGAAUUCAUAAGUAUUUUAGUGUCAUUGAUUAGUAAAACUGUAAAGAAAAGACUUGUAAAUGUUUGAAGAAUAAGUUUGUAUAAGUAUGAAAACCCUAGAAAAUCCCAUAUUUCCUACUAGUAUAAAAAGUAGUCUUUUACCAAGACCCGACUGUUUCAAAGGUUUGCUUCUCUGUAUGAAUGAAGGUUUUUCCCAUGUAUAACUAUUAUUAUCAAAUUAUAGUCUACCUCAUCAUUUAUGUGAAUGUGUCAGAAGAUAAAAGUAAUAGGAAAAUUAUAUAAUCAUUAAAAUCAUAUCCUUUUGUCUUAGGAUAAACACGGUGUCGUAACUCGCCGAACAGUACAACCGAGGACAUCCGUCGAUGUGCAUUUUCCCACUAUAGCUAACAGUCGGGUGUAGGAUGGUCAGUCUUGUAUUUUAUGUUCUCUUUGUAUAGUAUAUAGUAUAGUAUGUAGUAAUUCCCUUUGUAUAGUAUGUAGUAGUAUCUCAUCCUAUAGUAUGUAAUAGUACCUCUUCAAAUAGUAUGUAAUAGUAUCUCUUCAUAUAGUAUGUAAUAGUAUCUCUUCAUAUAGUAUGUAAUAGUAUCUCUUCAUAUAGUAUAUAAUAUACUUAUAUAGACUAAUGAAUAAACUGACUCUUGUGUGAUUCCUUGUACUAGGAAUAGUAAGUAGUAUCUCCUAACUAUACCUAUUAUAAUUACUAGUAAUGUAUGUAUAUAAUCGAAGGUAUGCCUUUGCUACUCAAAGGUACUGAAUUGACUGAUAGAACUUUUAUGUCUAUAUAUGUAUACAUAAUAUAUAACUAAUAUUAUGACGACAUUCAGACAAAUAACCGAUACCCUAAGGCCACAUCCAAACAAGGAAAAGGAAUUAAAGUGAGCUAGCAGUCCUAAGUCCUUUAAACAUUACUUAUAUAACUAUACAUAUAUAGGCAUGGAUUUGAAAAUAUAAAAGUUUAAAAGAAGUUUUGUAAAACAUUUGAAAAGUUUAAUAAUAAGAAUUGAUGACUUUAUGUCAAAUUAUAAAACGGUUUAAAAGCAGUUUGAUAUAAUCAGUUUAAAGUAUACGAAAUCUUUUGUCUGAAAUACAGUUUGAAAUACAUGAAAACCUUUGUUUGAAAUACAAUUGUAACAAAGUUUGAAAAGAAAGAUACAAUAUGUAAGAUAGUUUGAUAAAGAGUUUAACAUGUCACAACGUUUGAGAAAUUGUUUUGAAGUAGUUUACUUGGUAAAACAGCUAAAAGCGUAGUAAAUCCAUUUGUGUACUAGUUAUUAAUCACAUGUGAUUGAAGUAAUAACUAGUAUGAUUCAACUUAUAUUCCCCCCCCCCCCCCGCCCAUAAAAGCAUUUAAAAACAUUUAAAAGGUUAAUUAAGGGGUAUGAAUUCACCUGUAGUGAGUGGUUUAAAUGAACGGAUGGUAUAGGAUGCUAAGUGUCAAGGGAAGACUUGAGCACACGCACGGAUCCUAUUUAACAUAUAGUGACACAUAUAUGUAUCCAAUUAGUCAAUUAACAACUAAUUAAUCAAAUUAUGACACCCUAAAACAUGAAUAACACUUUGAUUCAAGUGCUAGGAGUACAUUAGGGUUACAUCUAAGGGGUGUAAGGCAUCUCAACGGAGUUUAUGGUCCAAAUGGUAACAACUCAUGAGUUUAUGGCCCAUGGUCAUUUCCCCAUGAGUUUACGGCUGUAAAAUCAUGGUAUUAAGUACCAUUUCGUGGUUUGAGGUCUUAUAAGUCAUAAAGAACUACCCUUACUUCAAGUCUAAGCCUUAGGAAGCAUUAGUGGAACAAUGACACUACUUUAUAGAGUUUACGGCCCAUGGAUCAUUUCUCUAUGAGUUAACGGCCGUAAACUCUAUGUAUUCUUGAUAUUUUUGAUGUUUAAGGUCCCAAACACUUCAAGGAAGUGAUCUAGACUAGUAUCCAAGGCUAAGGAAACGACUAGGGCUCACUUUGCACUUACUAACGGAUUUUACGGCCUUGGGAGAUUUCCUUGGCGGUAAACUCAUGUGUUCUUGAUGAUUUCAAGCCCCUAACUCAUUAUACUAACUUAUAAGCAUGAAAAGGAGGUAAAGACUUACAGUUUGAGGCUAGGAAAGGGAGAUUUCAGCCCAAAACACACAAGUGUUCUUGGUGUUCUUAAGGAUCUUGAAGAUCUAAUAAUAAAAGAUGGGAUUGUGGGUGGAUUCAACUGGAAAGGAUGAAAUCAACACAAGGAUGGAAGAGAUGGCUUACAUAUGUGAAGAUUUGAAGAGAACUUGAAGAUCACUGGGAGAGAAAUCGGAUUUCUCUAGCUAGAAGUGGUAGAAAUGAAGAAAAAUGACUAAAUCUAUAUAUAUACCAAGGGGUUUACAACCACCUUGAGUUUACGGCCGUAAACUCCAAGGUCUUGGUCGUAAACUCCUCUCUUGAGUGCUUAAGGCUUGUUUGACAGGUUCUAAGUUCAACUGACACACUUAUAUACUCCAUCCUUUGAUAUAUGAAAGAUCAGAAUGCUCAAACGGAUUCUAAACUUUGCUAAAAGUUAGCAGGAACAGUUUUGACUUCUAUUGAAGUGAAUGGUUGUACAUAAUAGAAAUUUCGGGUUGUCACAAUUGUCUAGAAUAAGAAUAGAUGUGAAAGACUAUGGGGCCAGAAGGCCAUUAUGAACAAGUUUUAGUAGAGUAUCCCUUGAGAGGGAAAUCGAGUUAGCUCUGAGGGAUUGUUGGCGAGAUGCCACUUGGAGUCGCAAGACUUAGGGAUGAUUAGGGAUGGUGCGUUAUGGAAGAAUAUUGUCUGGGCUGGGCGACUGGACGAUAGUGGAGAUGUACCUUUCUGUGACCUGAGUGGUGCUAAUUCCGUUUCCCGUGGGAGACUCAAGAGGUGUUGAGAUUCCGGUUUCUGAGUUUGGGGUAAGCCCUGAGGGAUUGUACUGAUGGUGAUCUUCAAUCAGAGUAUAUGGCAGUAGGACUGCCAUGAGGUAAAGAUAUAGCUUGAUCAGGUCGUCAGUGGGGACGGAGAUAGUCAAGGACCAGGAUACACCCUAUUUGAGUAUAGUAGGGCAUGUGUUAGCUGCAGCGUCAGACGAUCAAGAGGAGCGUAUCAGGGCGGUGGCUCUUAUUGGUUUUGAUGGGUAUCGAGAGCGGUAAUGUGGGUUCUGCUCUUUUCAUAAGUGAUGUGAUGGAGCGUUGGUUGAGGAGUCGAGGAUGAUGAGAAUGAUAGUUCAUUAUUUCCAGACUAAGAGUCAGGGUUAAUACUGGAUAGUUGGGAGGUUCAGUGAUGUAGUGGUGUGAGAUUCUGAAUGACUAGAGGCAGUCAUGUUGGGAAGUUUUGAGGAUUUCAUCUGAGAUUCGGGGUAUUGGGAGUUGCUUGAUCUCUGUCUGGGAGAUCAUCGAGCGCUGCGUAGCACCUUCCAAGAGUAGAUGCGAUGUUACUAGUGGAAACAGUCUGUGGGAUAGAUUGUUGGUGCGUCAAUUGCUGACGGUUCGAACCCUAAGUAGGGGAGAACCGAGUAUUUUAUUAUGGGGAUUAGAUAUUUGUUCAAGAACGGUUAAAGAUCUGGAUAUAAUGACCUGCGGUGCGAAUUCAUGAGUCUAGGGUUAUUGGUGAUCGAGGCCAGGUGCAGAGCAAAAUAAUGCAUGUGGUAUGUGUUUGCGAAAGGAUGAGUGCAUAGGAAGAUACUAUGUGGCUUGUGCUUUUCAGAGUUAGCAUAUGUCGAGUUCGAGUACGAUUGGGUCGCUGGAUUGCGGAUGCCAUAGUUGAGAUUUGCAAGUAAAGGUAUAGAUUGUAAUCUAUACCCCCGAAAGGCCAGUCGCUGAUUCGUCAACCAAUUUCAGGGUCAAUAUGAGUAGUUUUGUGUGAGUAAUGAUCAGUAUAGGGAGACAAGUUGACAGAUUCUGCAAGAUCAUGCAGUAUCCAAGCAUGUGAUCGUGAGUGUGAGAUUAGUGGAUUGGGCAAAACAUCGUGAGAUUCAGUGUUGGAGAAUCAAGGUAUCCGGGUAUGAUGUCCUUAUUCCUAGAUUAUUCUGAGUUCUGAGUUGAGAGUCGCCCACUAGUGUAGCAAGCAUCCAUGGUUCCAGUGGGAGCACUUAGACUAAUUGAUGUUAAACGAGAUUAUUAAAGAAUGAGGAUUGUAACGAGAAAAGGAGUUGUCGUGUUGGUUGCCGUCAGGAGUAGUGACACUUACUUUUGGAUGGGUAUGUGUGCACCUAUCUAUGUUGGGCUGUGGAACGUGGGUUGGUGGAUGCAGUGUGUGGCGCCGACUUGAGGUUCAGACCGUGGAUGAUAAGAGAAAGUGCUGUAAGGCUGCAGGGAGCUGCAACAUGCGUGAAUUAGCAAAGGGGUGCAGUGAUACUACGGGGAGCCGUAGUAUUAACCAGUUAGUCAGUGAGAGCUUCUUGUGAUACUGCAGGGAGCUUGUAACAACGUAAAUUUUCAAACAAUUUUUCAUUUUUCAAAUAAAACAUAUCUUAUAAAAAUCAUCUCAAAACUCGAGUAUAGAAAAUGUCAUCAAGAUAAAACAUAACCCAAAAUCUCAAACACUAUCCUCUACCAGUGUGUACAAAUCAUGCCGGUGCCUUCCCACGAUCCUCGCUGGUACUUGAAACACAUGUCACAUAACAAAGUAAGUGAUGGUCUAUGAUUUUAUGGUUUAGGCUAGGCAUUCUUUUGUAUAGGUCUUGGUAGGAUGAUGGGGUGUGUUAUAGCUUAGUUGUGAGUGUGUGCUGUCGUUUCACCCAUGUGCGGCUGCACUCUUGGUUGCUACUACAGGUGGUAUAAAUAGCUUUAGUUUGUGUCAGUGUGUCAGAAGUGAGUGACGAAUGAAUAGUGAUCUGUCUGUGUGUACUUUCAAGGUGUACUUGACAUUUAUAAGCUAUAGACGUGUGCAUGCUUGAUUUUAUUUCCCUUCUACUUCUUAUACAUUCUACUUUGAUUGUUAUUACUUCAUUGAUUACUGAUUUGGAUCUAUAGUUUUGGGACUAACAAUUGGUAUCAGAGCCAAUUUGGUAUCAAUUGAAGUAUUUUUGACUGUGCGGUUGAAGAAAAUUGUCGUUUUUGAGAUACAUUCGUACUUUUGAAUUGAAGAACAGCUACUAAAUCAUUGUGUUUACUAGUUUGGAAUUAAAAAUUUGUCCAAAAUAUCCAGUUCUUUAGUGUGUACAGUUGUAUUUUUUAGUGUGCGGCUGGAGUUUUGAAGGAGUGCGGUUGGAAUUUUGAAGAAGUACAGUUGUGUGUACGGUUGAGUCUGUUGUGUGAGCGGUUGAGUUUAAUGUUGUGUGUGUGGUUGAAGUUUGUUGCUGCGUGUGCAGUUGAGUCUGUUGUUGUGUGUGCGGUUGAAGUGUGAUGCUGUGUGUGCGGUUGAGUUUGCUGCUGUGUCUGCGGUUGAGUUUGUUGCUUUGUGUAUGGUUGUGUUUGUUAUUGAGUGUAUGGUUGAUUGUGAAGAUUGUGUGUGCGGUUUCAAUCAUUCAAGUUGUUCAAAGUUUUAAACAAGGAAUCUCAAAGCAUGACAGUACAUCGAGAGCCUGACUCCAUCAUGGGAACAACUUCUCGGAUUCCUCGACUUUUCAAUGCUGAAGGCUUUCUAGAAUGGAAAUACCGAAUUGAAAAGUAUAUUAAAAUGAAAGAUUUCAAGAUUUGGCGUAGUAUAGUUAGAGGACCGAUUCGAAUCACUACAGUAGUGGAUGAAGUCAUUGUCGACAAACUAAUUGAAAAUUAUACGGAUGAGGAUUUCGAAAGAGUUGAAGAACAGGAGAAAGCCCUUGCUACGCUUACAAUGGCAUUAUCUCCAGAAAUUGCUCAGGGUUUUCGUGAGUAUACAUUUGCGAAGGCACUUUGGGAAGCCCUAAUCAAAGUCUAUGAGGGUAAUGAGGAUAUGAAGCAGAGUCGUCAGGACAUGCUUCGACAAAAGUUCAACAUGUUCAACUAUGUCCUGGGUAAGACUCUUGAGAAUCAGCUCCAAAGGUUCAUUACUCUCACUACAGUAAUGAGUUCUGCAGGUGUUUUAGUAACAAGAUCAGAAAUCAAGAAGAAAUUGUUAAACUCUCUUCCAAAAUCCUGGGACAUGAAUCUCUCAGUGAUUAAGAAAACAAAAGACUUAAACAUGCUGAGUUUGGUAGAAACAAUGGCUAUCAUCAAAGCUUGUGAUCUUGAUGACAAGCAGAGGGAGAUUAAUCAUGUUAAUUCUUAUUCCACUACAAAUCUAGGGAUCCAAACCUCAAACAACAAUGCUUUUUCAAUCUUCACAGUUGCACAAGCUCCUCAAGUUAACCCAACUACACAUGUUCCACAAGUUCAACCCUUCCUGACUCAUCAAUCGAUUCAACCUACAUCCUAUGUUCCCCUUUCCAUGCAACAAGUUCAAGUCUCUCAACCUGAGAUCAUGCCUCAACAAGUUAAUCUAAAUGCUGGAUCAUCUAAUGUUGUACCUUCUCAGUCUCAUGUUUUCAGCUCUUAGAUGUCAAACAUGAAAGAAAAGGAAGAAAAUAUGGCUCUUGCCACAGGUUUGGUAAACUGCUACAAUGGUUUCAUGGCUGGAGAACUCUCUCCACAACUUUUGUUUGCCGAUCUUGAUCAGAUUGAUCUUUAAGAGAUAGAAGAGAUGGAUAUAACCUGGCAAAUAGCCAUGGCCCUUUUCAGGGCAAAGCAGUUCUCCAAGAAAAUUGGUAAAAACAACUGGAGUGUAAAUGCUUACAAAAAGUAUGGGUUUAACAAAGGCAAACUUCGCUGCUACUACUGCAAUGAGCCAGGGCAUUUUGCUAGGGAAUGUUCAAAACCUGAAAAAAGGGAAAAUUCUGAUCGAACCGUGGUACUAAUUACCUAUGUUCACAGCAACAACAACAAAGGAUCAUCAUCAACCAAUCAAUCUGCAAAUUUGGCAAUGGUGGCCCAAUCCUUUGAUUGGGAAGAUCAAAUUCAAGCCCGGAAUAUCUUAGGACCUGAAAAUACCUUUCUGUCCCAAAUCAAGGAUUACAAGCAGAAAGAAACGGAGGCAAAUCCCGAAGAAGAAAUGAUGAAUCUCCAAUUUUCCUUCAUGGUGCAGACUACUUCUGAGCCAUCCAAGCCCGAGGUAAGUGAAUCUGGUUGCUCUCCAUCUUGCACUAAAACUAUUAAAUAUUUGCGAGAAUCAAUAGAAUUAAUCAAAAAAGAGAACGAGGACUUGAAAUAUGAGUGAUACACACUUAGAAAAAAACCAAAAGCCCUUAAAAACUCAAUUAGAAAAUAAAAUAAAGGAUUUUAGGAAAUUGCAAGAGGACUACAACAACAAAUGUGAGAACUAUGAUCAUCUCAAAUGAAAAUGUGAAGCUGUGUCCACUGAACUUGACUCAUUGAAAACACGCUUUGAAAAUGCUGAAUUUAAUUUUAAAAAAUAUGAUGGGUCUAGUGAAACAAUUGCAAAAAUGAUUGAGGGAAAAAAAACUGGAGAGAUAUCAGUCAUGGAAAUUAGAUAAAAGUUGGAUUAGGAUUUGAGAGUGUCCCCCUCCCUUUAAUCAUAACUACAUUUCCAUUCCCUUGUCUCAAGAUGAACUUGACAGAGAAUCUUACAUGGUAUAUGGAAAGUCAGCUUCUGAGCAAGUAAUACAGUCAAAUGAUAAGGUUUUGGGUACUAACGCAUCCAAUUUGAGUGCAGAUAAGUCCAUAGCUCAGGGGGAGCAAAGAGAUGAAAAAUUUGAUGUUCUUGAGUCUAGUGAUAAUGCUGUGUCAAAGUUUGGUGUUAGUUUAUGUAAUAAGUCCACAUUAAAUUCGAAAUUAGACAACUUUGUGUCUGGUGGUAUCGUUUACUUUGAUAAGACUGCAACUUAUAAUAAUGUGUCUGCUAAUGUUUCUAUGUCUGAUUCAAAUGUUUCUACUCCUUCCACAUCUGCUUCAAAAUCUUGUGAUCAUUCUUGCAAAUGUGAAAGUGUUGGCAAUAACAAUAAAAGAAAGAAAUCUGUCAAUAGCAAUGCCAAAAUUCAUUGAUAAGAGACAAACAUGUUUUAACUGUGGCACUGCUGGACAUAUUGCAAGAAACUGUUUGAACCGAAUGUUUGUAUCUCACACAUCAAGAAGAGCAGAGAAUGAAUUUUGGGGACGAUGUUUAACUAGAACAUUCCCCAGAACUCAUUCUCGAAAUGGUGACUUAAACACAAAACCAAACAAGAAAAUGACCAAUUUUCAAAAGAAUAAACAGGUUUUUCAUAAAUUCAACAAUAGUUUGCCAAAAUCAACUCAGGCUAAGCCCAAGUCGAUUUUUGUCAAAAAGCAGGAUCGGAUCUUCAAACUCUUCAAGUAGAAAAUCCACCGGCUCAAAGAAAACUAAUAAAUUUUCAAAACCUAACAUUGAGUGGAUACCUAAACAAAAUUCAGAUCAGUCACCAUUUAUCUUGAAAUCUCAUGAAAAUGAAAAAUCAAAUGAAAAAUAUGAGAAAGUGAAGGGUAAACCCAGGACUAUGAUGACAUGAGUUCCCAAGUCUAAAUAAUUCCGCUCAUCAUGCAGGGACAAUUGCGGAGGAAUGUCGUCAGACCCUGGUAUGUCGACAGCGGCUGCUCCCGGCAAAUGACCAGAGAUAUAUCUCGAUUGCACGACAUUCAAACAUUUAAUGGGGGAUAUGUCUCUUUUGCGGGAGGAGAAGGAGGAAAGAUAACUAAAAAGGGAACAAUUUCAAAUGGAGUGCUGAAUUUUGAGAAUGUUAACUAUGCCCCUGAAUUGAAACAUAGCUUGUUGAGCGUGUCCCAGAUCUGCGAUAAGGGUUAUUCAACUCAUUUCACAGAUAAAGAAUGUCUGAUCUUAAAGCCAGGCGUUGUCAUUCCAGAAGACUGGAUUCUUGUAAAAUCUAUGCGCGAUGGGAAUGCCUACAUCAUACACAUGAACAGUAAUAUCCCCAACGAAGUCACUUGCCUAUUCUCCAAAGUCUCAGAAUAAAAUGCGAUGUUGUGGCAUCGUCGUCUCGGUCACGCUAAUGCAAAGAACCUGAAUCGGCUUGCAAAGAACGAACUGGUCCGAGGUUUACCUGUUAGAGAUUUCAUUACAUUUGAAAAAUGUGUUUCCUGUGCUCAAGGAAAACAUCAUCGGAAACCACAACUUCCAAAGCAGAUCAACUCCAUUAGUCAUGUACUCGAGCUGUUACAUAUGGAUUUAUUUGGUCCAAUCAACGUUAUCAGCAUCAAUCGCAAUUCAUAUUGCCUCGUUGUGAUAGACGACUACUCUCGGUUCACUUGGGUUUUCUUUCUGUCCAACAAAGCUGGAAUCGCUGACCUCAUCAAAAGGUUUAUUGUAAUGCUUGAGAAUCAGACCAACAACUGAGUGAAAGUGCCGCAUAUUGAUAAUGGAAUAGAGUUCAAGAACGCUAUUCUUGACCAUUUUUGCACCAAGAAAGGGAUUGUGCGUCAGUUCAGUUAUGUUCGCACACCAUAACAAAAUGGUGUUGCCGAACGUAGCAAUCGUACUCUUAAAGACGCCACAAGGACGAUGCUUUGUGAUUCCAAACUUCCUGUGUUCUUUUGGGCGGAGGCGAUUAACACGGCGUGCAACGUUCAGAAUCACGUGCUAAUCAACAAAUCCAAAAUGAAAACACCGAACGAAAUUCUAUACGGACACAAGCCAUCUGUCAGCCAUUUCCAUGUGUUUGGCUGCCCUUGCACCCUUCUCCACUUGGAAUCCAACACUAAAUUUAAUGCAAAAGCCGAUGAUUGUUAUUUUGUUGGAUAUGCUGCUCGAACUGCAUACAGGGUUUAUAAUAAGAAGACGAAAUAGAUUGUGGAAUCUUUUGAUAUUCGUUGGCUUGAAGAGAAUGAGAGAGACACUAGAGUGGGUCCAGAUUGUCUAUUUGAUUACACAUAUCUCUUCAAAUCCUUCAAUGUGUCAUCGGAUAAUCAAGCGGGGUCUACAUCUAGUUCGAAGAUCAUUAUUGAAGACAAAGAGGAGGAAGUUAUCUAUAGACCACCUCUGGUCUCUUCUGAUCCCCCAAUGGUGUCUUCUGUUCACACUGAUUCUUCUGAGUCUUCUCCUUAACAACCUUGUACUGAUGUUGUUACUACUCCUUUAACUCCGGUGGAAAGAGAGUUCAUGAACCAAGAGACUUCCGCUGUAACUUCAAAUCUGAUGGAACUUCUCUUUCCAGAAAGUAUUGCUGAAGAGUUUGUAGCAGAUUCGACAAACAAACCUAGUUCAUCUACCAUGGAUCAUACAGCAAAUGACGGAGCGGUUAACAUCCAUAAUCUUCCAGUCUCUAUCAAUGACAUCACCUACGAGAUCCCUGCACGCAUUCAGCGCGACCAUCCAAUAGAGAACGUCAUUGGACAGCUGGGCGACGGUGUUCAAACAUGAAGUCAGGGUGGAGACGUUAAUACAUGUCUCUACUCUUGCGUUAUCUCUCAGAUAGAGCCCAAAAUGUCGAAAUGGCACUGAAUGAGCCUAGCUGGGUUGACGCCAUGCAUGAAGAACUUAAUCAAUUCGAGAAGCUCGGGGUUUGGAAGUUGGUGGAGCUGCCAAAAGGAAAGAAAUAUCUUGACACCAGAUGGGUCUUUCGGAACAAGCAAGAUGACUCAGGUGUCAUUGUGCGUAAUCAGGCAAGAUUAGUGGUUCGCGGGUUUCGACAAAUUGCGGGUCUUGAUUAUACGGAGGUUUAUACACCGGUGGCGCGAUUAGAGACUAUUCAUAUCUUCCUCUCAUAUGCUUCCUAUAUGAAAUUUACAGUAUACCAAAUGGAUGUCAACACAGCUUUCUUGUAUGGCAAGGUCAAGGAGGAGAUUUAUGUUGACCAACCGUCGGGUUUCGUUAACUCAAAGCUUCCUAAUCAUGUCUACAAGUUAGACAAAACUUUCUAUGGGCUGCAUCAAGCUCCUAGAGCUUGGUAUGCUACCGUAACACAACAUUUGCUCAAACACGACUAUUCCCGAGGCACCAUUGAUCAAACCUUAUUUAUCAAACAUGUCGGUCCGGAUCACAUUCUUGUUCAAAUCUAUGUGGGCGACAUUAUUUUCGGGUCGACAAGCCAACAGCUUUGCAAAGAGUUCGAAGCCGUGAUGAAGAAGCGGUUCGAGAUGAGUUCGCUUGGGGAAAUGACCACGUUUUUGGGGCUUCAGGUCCAACAAUCCUCAACCGGAAUCCUUAUUCACCAAGCAAAGUAUGUGGAUGAUGUGCUGGAGAAGUUCGGGUUUCGAGAUGCGAAACCUGCUCUUACACCCAUGGUGGAGAGACCUUUACUGGCUCCUGAUCUUGAAGGUGAAUCUGUAGAUCAGACAUACUAUCGAUCAAUGAUCGGAUCACUCAUGUAUCUAACUGCUAGUCGCCCAGACGUAAUGUUUGCGGUCUGUCAAUGCGCUCGCUAACAGGAUAAUCCUAAACUUUCUCAUUUAAAUGUUGUUAAACGGAUUUUUCGGUACCUCAAAGGUUGCCCAAAACUGGGUCUUUGGUAUCCGAAAAAUCCAAAAUUUGAUCUUUAUGCUUUUGUAGACAACAAUUAUGGCGGGUGCGAGCUUGAUAGAAAAUCGAAUUCAGGAGGAUGCCAAUUUCUGGGAGAUAGACUGGUCUCAUGGCAGUGCAAGAAGCAGCAUACCGUCUCAACCUCAAUAAGAGAAGCGGAAUAUGUCGCUGCGUCUACCUGUUGUUCUCAAGUGAUAUGGAUCCAACAUCAUCUGUUGGACUACGGUUUGAAUUUUCAAGAAACUCCUAUAUUUUGUUAUAAUGAGGCUGCGAUCCAAAUUGCAAAAAAUCCGGUCCAGCAUUCAAAAACCAAGCACAUCGACAUCGAUAUUCAUUUCAUCAGAGAAUGUUUUGAGUGCUCGCUCAUUCGGCUAGAACAGGUCCGCUCUGAUAAUAAUGUAGCAGAUCUGUUCACCAAGCCAUUUAACAAAGAUCGAUUCGAUGUGCUGGUUAAUUUUCUGAAAAUGAUUCGCUUUGAGGAUUACUUUUUGUUAGGUUAGUUUAAAUUUGCGUAUUUUAAUUUCAUUCUCACCCAUGCACAAAUUUAGGGGGAUAAAUAAACAAAAACCAAACAAAACAUUAGAAAAUCUAUAAAAACCAAUAACAUUAGAAAAAUAAAAAAAUCAAAAAUAGUUUUGUGAAGUAAUCAUUUGGGAAGUGAUAUCAGCUUGUGUUAACAAACAAUCUAGGUCUGUAUAAGGUACCAAAGCUGAAUUGGCUAGGCUCUGUGUUCGAUGCGCUGGUAGGCACGAAGACUUUAACGAACUUGACUAGGUGCAGAUGAACUUAAGGAAUCUAGAGACUUGAUAAAUCUUGACCUAGAUAGUUCCAUUUAGCCUAACAAUAUGAAGCUUGGAUAGGUUAAGCAGGGAGAUAUACAUGAGAAUCCACCAGUCACAUUAAGAGAACCCAUAUCUUGAUUAUUGGGGUAUAUCAGGAAGCGGGAAACACGUUCUAGUACACUUAAAAUUGAACCAAUUCUAGAUUGUCUGUAGAUCUCACUACUCAAUUUAGGUGGACAACAAUAUCCUUGGUUGUCCUCAGAUGAACGGUCCUUAGGAAAUUGUAUCUAGGAAUAUAGGAUCAACAUGUCUUGUCAUUUACAGCAUGUCCAAAAUUUUGUCACAAUUCUUCGUGCUUAAGUGGACCACAAUACUGGUGAUCGACCAGAUCUUUUCAUGAAAAGGGAGGUGCUGAUAAAUUGAAAACGAUUGUCUAACAAAUUUGAUCCCAUAUCUCAUAAGAGGAUUAAAAUCUAUUAAAAUUGAAAUUUUAGUAUUAUUAUUAUUAUUUUUUUAUUUUUAGAAUUAAUAAUAUUUUAAAUAUUUUAUUUUAUUUUAUUUUAUUUUAUUUUUAAUUUUUAUUUUUAAUUCCUAUUUUUAUUUUUAUUUUUAUCUUUAUUUUUAUUUUGAAAUUAAUCCUCAAAAUGAUUUGUUUCGAAAUAUUUUGAGUUUUGGGCUUUUAUUUGCAAAAGAUGAAAGAUGAAGGGCCGGUGUUGAAUCAUUGGACCAUAUAAAAAGAGGAAUGUGCGGUCAUAACUCAUUUUUUACCCUUACUCGACUGCACACUCCUCUGAUUCUCUCUCUUUCUCAUCUUCACGAUCUCUCCUCUUUUUAGUUGAAACUUAAGGUUAAUACUCGUUAAUAUCAUAAAAAUCGACUGCCAUAAUACUGUUUUGGAUCAAAAUCGACAUUGAAAACAAUAUCAUAUGUAUGUGUGCGGCUGGCUGUGUGCGCCUGGCUGUGUGCGGCUGACCGUGUGCGGCUGACCGUGUGUGGCUGACCGUGUGCGGCUGACCAAGUGCGGUUGGUCUGUGUGUGGUUGCCACGUGUGGAGUUUAACCAUUUACGGCCGCACCAUCCGUGUGUGGUUGGACUCGUAUGCUACUAGUAAGUAUCUAAUGUUGAGUUAAUUUUUUUUGGAAAUCUCUUGAUUUUUCUAAUGUGUUUUAUUUUAUUUUUAGAAAAUCAUGGGAGACUCUGAGUUCUCAAAAGUGCACAACUUGGCCAUCUUACUAGAAGAUCCUCCAAUGGCCCACCUCGAUCUCAAAUUCAUUGUUGAUCGUCUGAGAAGAUGUUGCUUGGUCUCUGCUCUCACAUUCAGUCCAGCAAUUUAUCAAUGUCUGAUUAAAGAAUUUUGGAGGAGCGCUUCUGUAAAGAGGACCAAUAACGAUGAGGAAUAUCUUGAGGCAUAUAUACAAGGAAGGAAAGUUUUAGUCACUGAAGACAUCAUUCGAGAAGUCCUACAAAUCGAUGAUAAGCAUGAAUAUCCAAGGGAGAUUAGUGAUAAUCAGAUUAAGGAAGUUCAUGGACAAAUGGGAUAUGAUGGAACCUUUCCACCAACCCACAAGAAGCUGUUGCCACCUUGUUGGAAAUAUCUGGCUCAUGUUUUUGUGAGCUAUAUUUUAGGACACAGAUCUGGUGCUAACGAGAUAUCAUUGUCAAAUACUGGUGCCAUCAUUGCUUUGGCCUCUAGAGUAAACUUUAAUUUUUCAAAAUUUAUCUUGCAUGAGAUGAUUUUGGAUAUUAAAGGAAACAAAAGGGAAAGGUUUCUAAUGUAUCCAAGGUUUAUCCAACUGAUCCUUAACAUCAUGCACCCUGAGAUUGAAAGGAAAGGAGAGACCCUGGAUAUCAAGUCAGUCGGCCCAAGUGCUUUUGGUUUAACGAAGCAAAAGAGAUCAGGAAAGCUCUACUUUGAAGGAAAAUUUCCUUUAAUCAGAUUUGGUAUCUUUGCCGAGGAGAAAGAUCAGUCAGAACCCAAUGAAUCUUCUUGUCCUACGGAGACGGACGAUGUGGUCAUCUCUACUUCUGAACCUGAAAUUGAAGAAGGUCUAAAAUCUCCUGUGCCCAGUGUUGCAUCAGAACAUGAUAUGAUGCAGAUUGUGGAAGAUGAGAGUGAUUAUGAUAGAGACAGAGAAGAACAUGAAGGAAAUGAUGAAUUUCUAAAUGAUAUGGACUUCUCAGGCCUUGACAAUGUUUCCAUUCCCCUCAACUUUGAUUUUGAACAGGAAAAUGCACUUGACAUAGAUUUGGAUCUCUCUGACAGAUUUUUCGAAAAGGUUGAUGAAGUUUCUCAAACUGCAACCAAGACUAGGGCUGCAAAGAAGACUCUCAAUCCUAUGCCGCCUUCGUCUACCCAAAUGGAAGAAAAUUCAACUCAACAGGGUACAGAUUCAAGGAUUCCUCCCCUAGACUCUGUUGCUCCUACAUUUAUCUCGACACAGGCACAGACCUCUCUGCCUCCUGUACAAGGAAUGGAUCAGAAUUUUAGGCAGGGAGUAUUCCCUCAAAACCAGUCACCACCUGUUUCAGCCACUAUUAACACCACAGCUAUUGCAACCCCACCCCUCCAAUCCCAUGAACGUCCAUGUACCAUGCAUGAGACAGGAGAACCAUCUAGUGUUCCGGUAUAUUCCCCAACGAGACCGUCGCUUGAUGAGGCCUCUAUCAGACUCGCCAAGCACCUUGCUCAACACAGUCCGACCUCUUCCUCUCGUGGCAAAGGUAUAUCUUUCAGAGAAGAGCAUUCAGGUGAUGACAAGUCAGCUGUGUCAGAACUUCGAGAAGAUAUUGUUGUUCUCAAGCAAGAACUGAUUGAAAAGAACAUUCAAAUGGAUCAACUCACUUCUCACAUAGAAGAGCUUAAAGAAAAGGAUGAAGAGAAGUCAAAACAGAUUAAGGAUCUAUAGACGAAUCUUGGCUCUGUGACUACCUUCUACUUCAAUUUGAAGAACGUUCUAUAUGAUGCUUUCGGGGAUAAAGUUAAAGCACUAUUUCAGCAACCGCACGGAAUUGAGGAUCCUCCCAUGACCUCCACACAAUCUACUUCUGACAAUCUUCCAGUUGAUCCACCUCCUCUUAGAACAACUACAGUUGUCAAUAGAUUUGAGAAAGAACCUGAAGGCAGUAGAGCCCGCAUCAGAAUCAAAUAGGGAAAGAGGAUUGUUACAGCUAACAAAAGAGAAGGGUUACUCUUCAUGAAAAAUUCAAACGAGAAUCGCAAAGCCAAAGACCCUGUGCUAAUAGUGACUGAUCUCAAAAAGAGAAAAUUUGGUGAUGAGUAUAGAGAUCGCUCUGGGAUCAGAAUGUGGAAUUAUGAUCCUGAGUCUAAGCUAUGGGUGGUUAAGAGGAAUUUUGGUCACUCAGAAUACUACAGAAACAUCCAUGAUUUUCACUCAUGGACGAAGGUUGAUCUCUCGGAACUCUCAAGAGCCCCUUUCCACAAUACCUCUACUAAUCAAAGCACUACAACUUUGAAGCAGUUCCUGGACAGACAAGUUAGGGAUAACUUCCCAUCAAUGAAGACGGCAAAAGCCAUGGUUGUAAAGGAUAAGGAUAUUCUUGAUCCUGAGAAUAACCGACCAAUGAAGAUCAUGUUGUGGCUUGCUACUAAUCAAGUGAAAGUGAUUCCCAUUCCACAACAUUUCCAGGAAGGAUACCUUGAUGAUAUGGAGUUUUGGCCUUUUGAUGAUGAAACAACAACUGCAGCAAUCAUGUUCAAAAAUAGGGACACCGUUCUGAGACACGUCUGUGCAAAGGAUCUUUUGAGAUUCAGGGAGAGAGACAUUCGGACCCUAGCUCGUCACCAAAUUAUUUGCAGAAAAGAUGUCAUGGAGGUUUCUGCGAAGGAAUUCACUAGAAUGGUCGCCUCUAUCAUAAAUGGAAAGCAAUGGAUGUGAUCCAUGGGAAAAGCUGACAUGAAGCUGUCCAAAUCUCCUGAAGAAUGAAGACCUGAAUUCAUGCUAGCCUCAAAGCAAGGGGGAGAUUGAUGGUCUAUGAUUUUAUGGUUUGGGCUAGGAAUUCUUUUGUACAGGUCUUGGUAGGAUGAUGGGGUGUGUUAUAGCUUAGUUGUGAGUGUGUUCUGCCGUUCCUGUGUGUGCGGCCGUAUACGCGUGUGCGGAUGCACUCUUGUGUGCUGCUAUAGGUGGUAUAUAUAGCUUUAGGUUGUGUCAGUGUGUCAGAAGUGAGUGACGAAUGAACAGUGAUCUGUCUGUGUGUACUUUCAAGGUGUACUUGACAUUUAUAAGCUAUAGAUGUGUGCAUGCUUGAUUUUAUUUCUCUUCUACUUCUUAUACAUUCUACUUUGAUUGUUAUUACUUCAUUGAUUAAUGAUUUGGAUCUAUAGUUUUGGGACUAACAGUAAGCAUAAAUGCUUAGUGAGUUCCCCAAAAUACCACAUACAACAUAUAACCCACUCGAGGCUAUAACUCGGUAAGACCCUCUGGUCAAUGUGUCUCAAUGGAAGACUCCAGUCCCAUAGCUCGUUGGACCUUCCGGUCCGGUCUGGUUGAGGAACCUUUGGCCUCGUAAGUCGUUGGACCCUCCGGUCCGGUCUAUCAUAUAGCAUACACAAAUCACAAAGUACAUAAUCUCAAACAAGCACAUAACACGUAAGACCCUCCGGUCUACACAUAGAUACCACUCUAAGUAAUGUAUAGUGAGAAGACUCACCUCGAUAGGUGUCUAGAAAACUCGCAUGUUUGAAUCCCCGAUCUAGCCUCCUCCUAUCAAAAUGAUAAUAUCUCAACUCAAUACUCUCAUAUGUUCUCAUCUUUAAAGAAUGGGUAGAAGACUAUUCUACCUUUGUAUGGCCUCUCAUGAAUCCGUUUGACCAAAACCCUAAGGUAAACAGUAGUCAACUCCAGCCAACGGUCCAACUCAGACCAUACUCGUCGAGUCCUCCAUCGCAACACUCAUUUGACUUUCUAAGGUCAGAUCUGGUUAUCUAACUUAUAGAUCUGGCCUUCUAGCACCCAAAAGUCAUGUAAAAGUGAAAUCUUUAUGCCCAUGCACCACACAUUUAGCUCUAUUUGAUAAAAUGACCUUUAUAAUGGUGUCAUAAGCUUAAUCCUCUUAUGUGACUGCAGAAAGCUUGCCUCAUGGGACUCUCUGGACCUCUCAAGGUCCAGAUCUAAAGUCUAAGCCUCAAGGGGACCUCAUAUACUCAAUAUCUUACACUAAAAGAGGGUAAAGAAACCCUAAUUUCAUGAGGUCUAAUAAUCAUACGAAAUAGGUAUAGAUUCGAACCUUAAACAAGAACCUAGAAUGGAAUAGAAGUAUAUCUGAGCUCCUCUGUUUGAUUUAGCUUGAACAACCUUCUCCUUCCUUGAAAAGAUGCACCAAAAUGAAGAAAAUGGGUUCCUAUUUCAGUCUAAACUCUCUGCAUUGAUAAGGGCCUCUCAAAGGGAAGGGUGGCUACAAAUAAAGGCCAUAAGGGCCUUUAAAUAGGUGUCAGGUCCAAAGAUUUAGGGUUUCUGUCCACAGCCCGGUCUCGUCGAGUCGACUCUCCGACUCGUCGAAUCCCUUCAUUAAUCUGAGUCAUCAUUCGUGAUCCUAAUCGACGAGUUUAGGCGUCAAAUCGUCGAGUCCCCCCCUUCUUAACUCAAAAUAAAUACUUAAAUUAUGAUACCUGGAAAUCCGGAUGUUACAAUUCCCCCCACUAGAAUCAGACUUCUCCCUCGAAGUCUCACUCUACAAAUAACUCUGGAUGCUACUCACGCAUCUCCACCUUCGGUUUGCAAGUCAACUCGGACCCUCUCCAAUGUUGCCACUGGACCUGAACCAGGGGCACCUCUUUGUUCCUCAGAAUCUUGAUCUUGCGAUCCAAGAUCGCGAUCAGCCUCUCAAUGUAAUUCAGGCUCACAUCUACCUAAAUAUCCUCUAGCGGCACCACCACAGUCUCAUCGGUUAUACACUUCCUCAACUGGGAUACGUGGAAGGUAUCAUGGAUCUGACCCAACUCCUCGGGUAGCUCUAAACGGUAUGCUACCUUGCCUACUUUGGCCCCAACUUGCCCCUCUUCCUGAACUGGAUGACUCCUUUCUAAGGAGAUACCUUCAGGAGUACAAAGUCUCCAACCUGAAACUCAAGCUCGGAUCGCCGCCUAUCUGCAUAGCUCUUCUGGCGGCUCUGGACUGUCAGUAACCUCUGUCUGACCUACUGUAUCUGUUUAGUCGUUUAAGCACUAUCUUAAUGCUACGCAUCAGUUGCAGCCCUACCUCUCCGCAACAGAUGGGAGACCGACACCUCCUCCCAUAUAAAAGCUCAAAAGGAGGCAUACCAAUACUCGAAUGGUGGCUGUUGUUUUAAGAAAACUCAGCCAAAGGUAGGUAUGUGUCCCAACUUCCACCAAAGUCCAUAACACAUGCUCGAAGCAUGUCCACGAGCGUCUGAAUCAUCUGCUCACUCUGCUCGUCUGUCUGAGGGUGAUAGGCGGUACUGAAGUGCAAUCUCGUACCCAACUCCUCAUGGAACUUCUUCCAGAACCUGGAAGUGAAACGUACAUCUCGGUCUAACACAAUCAAGAUCGGCAAUGCGUGUCGCGACACCACCUCUCUCACAUAUAUCUCUGCUAGCCUCUCCACAGAAGAGCUCUCACUGAUAACAAGGAAAUGAGCGCUCUUCGUCAGCUGAUCCACAACCACCCAAAUUGCAUCAACACCCCUCGCGGUCCUCGGCAAUUUGGUGAUGAAGUCCAUAGAAAUUUGUUCCCACUUCCACUGGGGAACCUCUAGCGAUUCUCCGGUCUCUCUUGCGAUUCUAUGGUCUCACAGCCUCUUCCUAGGCCUCUCGAAUGGUAUCUAACACUAGAGUCAUUGAAAGACCCUAACUUUCGUAUUUAUGAAAGACCCAAACUUUCAUACUCGACAAUAUAGUUACUCCAAAACAUGCUACUUGCAUAUUCAUAAAAACAAUAUUUUACAUUGAUAAAGAGAUUACAAACUACUGGAUACAAACCGACUAUUUUAAAGUGUUAUAUAUUACAUAACUUCCCAGGAUUCUAUAGUUUUAUACAUAUGGGAGUGCAAAAUACAAUAGUUUCAAACUAUUCAUAAGCUUCCAUCGAUACAAUAGUUUCAAACUAUUCAAAAAUCUUCUACCAGUAUAUAACUAUACUGGAUGUUUAUCUCCUGCAAUUUGUUAAACAUCGAGAGGGUAAGCGGACACGCUUAGUGAGUUCAAUAAUAGAUACAAUAUAACGUUAUGCCAUAUAUAUACUUUAAUAGGGCAGAAGCAAAGAGGAACAAGGAACAACAAGGGCAUAUGUGAAUCAUGUGACAAACAUUCCAUAUCAAUCAUUGAUUUGAUUUAAAGAUAUACAAUCAAUGAGAUAUAACAAUUUCCGUGCUUGAUAUACAUCAAUAAAGCUUUGGCCCAAACGGCACAGAAGAUAUACAACUUAGGAUUAACAUUUCGGUAGAUUUCAGGCUUAUAGCCUUAUCUAACCUUCUGCCACUACCAUAGAAUAAAGUUCAUUCUCUUACGGAGACAUGUUCCACAUGGCCAGAGGCUACAUACCAGUACCAACAUGAAUCUAAGUCCUUUCACUGAUCACAUGGUCAAAGGUAUUUCUUUGCUAUUAAAAAUAGCAAAUAAAAAUAACCCGGGAAAAUAACCCGGAAUAAUAACACUGAAAAGCACGUAGCACAUAUAACACAUAACAUACAAUUAUUUCUAUAUAUUAAACUCACCGUGAAAUAACCGGGGGCUAAAAUAUUAAUUUGGGCAGUACUUCGGCUCUAAAUAUGACUUUCGUCGUUGAAAACCGAGAGUUUUCUUGAAAAACCGGGCUCUGCGAAGGUAGAGCUUUGAAACCGAAAAGAUAUAUUUUUCGGAAUUCUCGGGAGUCUCGGGGCGUGUUUCGGGCUUUAGAAUCAGUACCGGGGCUUCGGGGGAUGUCGGGAUCGUAAAAAUAUUGAAAGAGGGGGUGAAAAUGCCAAAUUUCUAAAACUAGCCGAGAGGGCUCGCACCCCUUAUAUAGGGCUGAGCUUCGGAUCCGAAGCGAAGGGAAGCAGAUGGUGGCUGCGAGGUUCGGACCAGAUGGCAGCUUCGCAGGGCUCCAGCGAGGCUCGGAUGCGAGGAGUCAUCAGCUUCAGGCGCGUCAUCGGCUGGGUCUUCGGCUGGGUCUUCGGCUCGGACAGCAGGUGGCUCGCACGUGGGUCUCGCAUGCGAGGGUGAUCCAGGGGGUGUCUCAUGCGAAGGUGUUCCGGGCUUAGUGGUCCUCGGCUUGGUCCAAUCAGAAGGCAACACGCAAGGCUGCGGUCCAAUCAGAAGCGAACAUCUGUCCGACACGUGGAAGCCUCGCAUACGAGGGUGACGUGGCAUUUCACUAUUCAUAUGAAUUUUCUCGAAAAAUGUGCAAAAACUUCUAAAAUCCAUAACUUUCGCAUACGAGCUCCGUUUUUGUCGUUCUUUAUAUGCACGCGAAGCUAGAAUUAUACUCUACAACAUUCGUUUAGACUUCGUCGGCUAAUUUUGAAUUUAAUUUUAAUAUUAUUAUUUAUAACAGACCUGGACAGGAAAAUCCGUUAAAAAUUCAUAACUUCUUCAUCCGACGUCCGUUUUCGUCAGACUUUUUACCGUUGCACUACUAAUGACGAGACCUUCAAUUCUCGUUUAGGUUGUGUCGGCUAAAAAUCACUCGAUCUAAAAUUCGAGUUUUUAGCUGUCUACUGCUAAGCUGAAACUUCGAAAAAUCAUAACUUCCUCAUACGAAGUCAGAUUCAAACGGUCUUUAUAUGAAAGUUGAUUAUUUUCACGAGUUCUACAACUUUCAUUUAUAUCACCAAGGCUAAAAAUUAGUUUAUCGAAAACUAAAUUUCUUCGCGACAAGGUAUUUUCCGGAUUUAUCACGGAUUUUCUUUUGGUCAUAACUUCUUCGUUAUAACUCGGAUUUCGAUAAGAUUUUCGCCUAAAUGUUUCUAACGAGAUUAUCUAUAACUUUCAAUAAUAAAAUUUUACUUAUUCCAGAUUUUAUAUUUUCGCUAUAUUUCACUAUUUGGCUUUUAAUUGGAAUCUCAUAAGACUUCCAAUACUUUCUGAAUGAUUCUAAGCAUAGUUUUACUUCAAUUCUAGUAAAAACUAUCUGUUAGAACUCAACAUUCAAAUUCACAUAAUAUUUCAUAAUAUUAUUUACUUAAAACACGAUUUCAAAACGUGUAUGUUACAAAUACCUCCUCCUUUUGAGGAUUUCGUCCCCGAAAUUACAUCGAUUAAAAUAAAUGGGGAUAUUUUGCUCUUAUCUCAUUCUUAUUUUCCCAAGUAUAAUUUGGGCCUCGAUGGUGUUUCCACUUGACAAGCACCAACUCCACUUCUUUAUUACGUAGAUUAGUUGUUCUUUCAUUCACGAUCUCUUCCGGCUCUUCUACAUAUCUUAACUUAUUAUCCAAUUUCACUUCAGAUAAUGGAACUGUCUCAUCAUUGAUGCUCAAGCAUUUGCGCAGAUAGCUCACAUGAAACACAUCAUGAAUACCUGCCAAAUCUUCAGGUAAUUCUAAGCGGUAUGCUUGCUUUCCAAUUCUCUGGAUGAUUUUGAAAGGACCAACAAAUCUAGGACUUAACUUUCCUUUCUUCCCAAAUCUCAUAAGGCCUUUCCAUGGAGAUACCUUCAACAUCACGAAAUCACCCACUUGGAAUUCUAUGGGUCGUCUUCUCUUUUCUGUAUAGGACUUCUGUCGAUCCUGGGCCGCUUUCAUUCUUUCUCGUACGAUUUGAAUUUUGUCGGUGGUGUCUUGAAUCAUUUCAGGGCCUCCAAGGAUCUUCUGUCCUAUGUCUCGCCAACAUAAUGGAGUACGACACUUGCGACCAUAUAAUGCUUCAUAUGGUGGCAUUUUGAUUGAAGCGUGGUAACUAUUAUUAUACGAGAAUUCGACAAGAGGUAAGUAUUUAUCCCAGUUACCACCGAACUCCAAGACACAUGCACGAAGCAUAUCUUCUACUGUUUGGAUUGUUCUCUCUGUUUGACCAUCUGUCUGGGGAUGAUAUGUUGUGCUAAGAGCAACUCGAGAUCCCAAUCCACGUUGCAUACUCACCCAAAAGUGAGAAGUGAAGCGAGUAUCACGAUCGGAUAUGAUCUUUAGUGGCACACCAUGUCUUGCGACAAUUUCAUGCAAGUAUACUUUUGCGUAUUUCUCCAUUGGGGCCAUUUCACGCAUGGCAAGAAAAUGAGCGCUUUUAGUCAGGCGGUCGACAAUUACCCAAAUGCUAUCAUGUUGUCUAGCAGUCUUUGGCAAUUUGGUAAUGAAAUCCAUGGACAAUUCCUCACAUUUCCAUACAUGAACACUAAGACUUUCUGGGGUUCCAUAAGGCUUUUGGUGCUCUGCUUUGAUUUGUAAGCAUACUAAGCAUUCUUGUACAUAUCUUCCAAUGUCUCUCUUUAAUCCAGGCCACCAAUAAUCAGCUCUUACAUCAUAGUACAUUUUACUUGUACCAGGAUGGAUUGACAGUUUAGAUUUAUGGGUUUCAUCUAAAAUCUUCUGUCUCAAUCCACCGAUCUUUGGAAUCCACAACCGAUUCUUGAAUACUUUUAAUCCUCGCGGAUCAUCAAGUAGAGCAUCAUUAUAAUGUAUCAUCCCUUCUUUCUUCACAUUUUCUGGCUUUAGGGCCUCUUCUUGCCAUUUCUCUAAUUCAUCUAAAAUAGUGAAUUUUACUGUAGUAUGAGUAAUGGCAUAACACAUACUAUUGCGAUAAACUUUUCUGCUAAGUGCAUCAGCAACCACGUUAGCUUUUCCAGGAUGAUAUAGGAUUUCACAAUCAUAAUCUUUGAUCAGCUCCAUGGCUCGUUGUUGUCUCAUAUUCAAAGUUUGCUGACUGAAUAUGUACUUGAGACUUUUGUGGUCGGUAAAUAAUUGGCACUUUGUACCAAAAAGAUAAUGCCUCCAAAGUUUUAGGGCAAAUACCACUGCAGCGAGUUCGAGAUCAUGAGUGGGAUAAUUCUUUUCAUAAUCUUUCAGUUGUCUUGAGGCAUAGGCUAUCACUUUGCCACGUUGCAUCAACACACAACCGAGUCCCAAUCUUGAAGCAUCGCUAUAUACGGAGAAGUCAUCAUCACCUUCUGGGAGUGAUAAGAUUGGAGCAUGAGUCAAAAGAUCUUUUAGAGUUGAGAAAGCUCUUUCUUGGGUUUCACCCCAUUCGAACUUCACUUCUUUCCGUGUAAGACUCGUGAGAGGUACGGCUAUACGAGAAAAGUCUUUAAUGAAUCUCCGGUAAUAUCCCGCGAGACCUAAGAAACUACGAAUUUCGGAAGCAUUACGGGGCACUUCCCAAUUUUGAAUGGCUUCGAUUUUGAUAGGAUCUACGGAUACACCAUCACUAGAAAUAACAUGGCCGAGAAAUUGAACUUGGCGAAGCCAAAAUUCACAUUUCGAGAAUUUAGCAUAUAGUUUCUCCUUUCGAAGAAGUUCCAAUACCGCACGAAUAUGAAUGGCAUGAUCAGCUUCAGACUUGGAAUAGAUUAGAAUAUCAUCAAUGAAUACGAUGACUGAUUUAUCGAGCAUUGGGCGGCAUACCCGAUUCAUCAUAUCCAUGAAUACAGCCGGAGCGUUUGUUAAACCAAACGGCAUAACAAGGAAUUCAUAAUGCCCAUAUCGAGUACGAAAAGCAGUCUUCGGUACAUCUUGCUCGUGAACUUUCAACUGAUGAUAGCCAGAUCUUAAAUCAAUUUUUGAGAAAUAGCUAACACCCUGAAGUUGAUCGAACAAAUCGUCGAUGCGAGGUGGUGGGUACUUGUUCUUGAUAGUCACCUUAUUCAGCUCACGAUAAUCAAUGCACAUCCGCAUCGAUCCAUCUUUCUUCUUGACAAACAGUACCGGAGCACCCCAGGGAGAGGUACUCGGUCGAAUGAAACCCUUGUCAAGUAGUUCUUACAGUUGGAUCAUCAUUUCUUUCAUCUCAGCUGCCGCAAGACGAUAAGGAGUCUUUGCAAUCGGAGCAGCACCAGGCACAAGGUCAAUUCGAAAUUCUACUUGCCUAUCCGGAGGAAGGCCAGUAAUGUCAUCGGGGAAAAUGUCAGGAUAUUCGUUAACAACAGGAACAUCAUUUACAGUUUUCUUCUCCUCUUUUGAGACAUCAACUGUGUAGGCUAGAUAGAUAGAACAUCCUUUCGAUAUGAAUUUAUGAGCUUUAAGGAAAGAGAUUACUUUUAAGAAUCUUUGUUCACCGUAGACAUAGAUAGGAUUCUCCCCUUCAAUAGGAAUGCGUACUAUCUUUUCAUAGCACAAGAGUUCAGCGUGGUUCUUUGAUAACCAAUCCAUGCCGAGAAUAAUAUCAAAGUUGGGCAAGGAGAUAGGGAUAAGGUUAGCGAGAAAAGUAUAGCCUUCAAUUUCUAUAACACAAUCUCUACAGACUUUAUCAGCAAGUAAUGAUUAACUUCCCGCAGUAUCUACGUGAAAUGGUUGUGCAAGUACAAAGCAAUCAAUUUGAAAGGCAUGCGCAAAUUCGUAAGACACAAAAAAAUCUGAGGCACCAGAAUCAAAUAAGAUGUGUGCAGGUCUAGAGUUGAUAAGAAAUGUACCCGUCACAACAUUCGGGUCCUCGCGUGCCUCCUCUGAGGUAAUCUGGAAUGCACGACCCCUAGCUUUUGGCACCUCCUCCUUUUUAGUUGGAGUACCCUUUGAUAGUUGAACAGGGACUUGGCUUCUCGCCGGUUGUUGAACAGAAGCUUGACUUCCUGUCAUUUGACUAGUAAGAGUAGUGCAAAAACGCUUCUUGUGGCCAGUAAUACCGUAUGCAUAGCAAGUAACAUCCUUUAAUGGGCAAGCUGGCUUUAUAUGACCCUUUUCUCCGCAUCCAUAACAGACAAUGGAUUCCUUGUCUAUUUUGCAUUGGCCCGGAUGAUUCCUUCCACAAAUACGACAUGAAGGCGAUUGCAUAGAAAAAGAUUGUGAUCUACCGCGUCCACGAGAGGCACUUUGAGUUUGAACUUGAUUACCAGGAUCAGUCCGAACGGAUUGAGCUGGUAGAAAAGAAGGAACAGUUCUUUCAGUACGUGGUUGCUUCGGAGCAGUAAUAGUGGCACCACGUAUUUCUAAGUCAUGCUCACGUCUUCGAGCAUAUUCAACGGCUUUAUCGAAUGACAGAACUUCUCGAUUGGCAACGAAAUCGUGGAUUUCGUGUCGUAGUCCCUCCAUGAAUAACUGAAUUUUCUCGUCUUCAGUUGGAAUAUACUUUGUAGCAAACCUUGCUCUUUGAUUAAACUGAGUUUCAUACUCAUUCACAGUCAUUCCUCCUUGUUUAAGCUCGAGGAAUUCCUUCUCCAAUCUCCUCCUCAUGUCUAGAGGACAAUACUUCUCUAGCAAACGAGUUUUAAACAUUUCCCAGGCUAAAUUCUCCUGGUCAAACCCGUUGAGAGCUUCAUAUGUUGCUUCCCACCAGACCAAUGCUUCUCCGAUGAGCAUUGCGGAAGCAUAGUUAGCCUUGUCUUCAUUAUCCACAUGAGAAAUACGAAACACUUUCUCUGUGUUCUGGAUCCAAGUAAGAACAAUAAUGGGAUUGAGAACACCGGAAAACUCUGUAGCACCACUACUCUUGAAAUCUUUGAACGAGGGACGCUUCACCUCUCCUUUUGAAGAUUCUCCAGUGGCUUUCUCUUUUCCCUUAUCACCAUUCUUUUUGUGUUCUUCGAGAGUUUGUCGAAUAACACCGGUAAGUUUACCCAAGAGUCGCUCCUCACGAGGAGAUACUGGAGUAUUCACUUCCUCGGGUUGAGGACCUCCACCAACCUCAGGGGUAUGGCUACUAACCUGUUCAGCCAUUGCUCUGCAAUACGGAGUAACAUUGUAUUUUAGAAUAUUAGGGUUUAUUAUUACCUAAUACUUUUACUUAUAUAUUUCCUAUGGUUUGUAUCCCUAUACUUAUAAUGAUUUAGUUCAUAUAUUGAACUUCCAAUAGUUUAAGUCUAAAUACCAAUCCGUGGAAUUUAGUUCACUCAAACUACUGCUCUGAUACCAUGAUUGAAAGACCCUAACUUUCGUAUUUAUGAAAGACCCAAACUUUCAUACUCGACAAUAUAGUUACUCCAAAACAUGCUACUUGCAUAUUCAUAAAAACAAUAUUUUACAUUGAUAAAGAGAUUACAAACUACUGGAUACAAUCCGACUAUUUUAAAGUGUUAUAUAUUACAUAACUUCCCAGGAUUCUAUAGUUUUAUACAUAUGGGAGUGCAAAAUACAAUAGUUUCAAACUAUUCAUAAGCUUCCAUCGAUACAAUAGUUUCAAACUAUUCAAAAAUCUUCUACCAGUAUAUAACUAUACUGGAUGUUUAUCUCCUGCAAUUUGUUAAACAUCGAGAGGGUAAGCGGACACGCUUAGUGAGUUCAAUAAUAGAUACAAUAUAACGUUAUGCCAUAUAUAUACUUUAAUAGGGCAGAAGCAAAGAGGAACAAGGAACAACAAGGGCAUAUGUGAAUCAUGUGACAAACAUUCCAUAUAAAUCAUUGAUUUGAUUUAAAGAUAUACAAUCAAUGAGACAUAACAAUUUCCGUGCUUGAUAUACAUCAAUAAAGCUUUGGCCCAAACGGCACAGAAGAUAAACAACUUAGGAUUAACAUUUCGGUAGAUUUCAGGCUUAUAGCCUUAUCUAACCUUCUGCCACUACCAUAGAAUAGAAUUGACUCUCUUACGGAGACAUGUUCCACAUGGCUAGAGGCUACAUACCAGUACCAACGUGAAUCUAAGUCCUUUCACUGAUCACAUGGUCAAAGGUAUUUCUUUGCUAUUAAAAAUAGCAAAUAAAAAUAACCCGGGAAAAUAACCCGGAAUAAUAACACUGAAAAGCACGUAGCACAUAUAACACAUAACAUACAAUUAUUUCUAUAUAUUAAACUCACCGUGAAAUGACCGGGGUCUAAAAUAUUAAUUUGGGCAGUACUUCGGCUCUAAAUAUGACUUUCGUCGUUGAAAACCGGAAGUUUUCUUGAAAAACCGGGCUCUGCGAAGGUAGUGCUUCGAAACCGAAAAGAUAAAUUUUUCGGAAUUCUCGGGAGUCUCGGGGCGUGUUUCGGGCUUUAGAAUCAGUACCGGGGCUUUGGGGGAUGUCGGGAUCGUAAAAAUAUUGAAAGAGGGGGUGAAAAUGCCAAAUUUCUAAAACUAGCCGAGAGGGCUCGCACCCCUUAUAUAGGGCUGAGCUUCGGAUCCGAAGCGAAGGGAAGGAGACGGCGGCUGCGAGGUUCGGACCAGAUGGCAGCUUCGCAGGGCUCCAGCGAGGCUCGGAUGCGAGGAGUCAUCAGCUUCAGGCGCGUCAUCGGCUGGGUCUUCGGCUGGGUCUUCGGCUCGGACAGCAGGUGGCUCGCACGUGGGUCUCGCAUGCGAGGGUGAUCAAGGGGGUGUCUCAUGCGAAGGUGCUCCGGGCUUAGUGGUCCUCGGCUUGGUCCAAUCAGAAGGCAACACGCAAGGCUGCGGUCCAAUCAGAAGCGAACAUCUGUCCGACACGUGGAAGCCUCGCAUACGAGGGUGACGUGGCAUUUCACUAUUCAUAUGAAUUUUCUCGAAAAAUGUGCAAAAACUUCUAAAAUCCAUAACUUUCGCAUACGAGCUCCGUUUUUGUCGUUCUUUAUAUGAACGCGAAGCUAGAAUUAUACUCUACAACUUUCGUUUAGACUUCAUCGGCUAAUUUUGAAUUUAAUUUUAAUAUUAUUAUUUUUAACAGACCGGGACAUGAAAAUCCGUUAAAAAUUCAUAACUUCUUCAUCCGACGUCCGUUUUCGUCAGACUUUUUACCGUUGCACUACUAAUGACGAGACCUUCAAUUCUCAUUUAAAUUGUGUCGGCUAAAAAUCACUCGAUCUAAAAUUCGAGUUUUUAGCUGUCUGCUGCUAAGCUGAAACUUCGAAAAAUCAUAACUUCCUCAUACGAAGUCAGAUUCAAACGGUCUUUAUAUGAAAGUUGAUUAUUUUCACGAGUUCUACAACUUUCAUUUACAUCACUAAGGCUAAAAAUUAGUUUAUCGAAAACUAAAUUUCUACGCGACAAGGUAUUUUCCGGAUUUAUCACGGAUCUUCGUUUGGUCAUAACUUUUUCGUUGUAACUCGGAUUUCGAAGAGGUUUUCGACUAAAUGUUUCUAACGAGAUUAUCUAUAACUUUCAAUAAUAAAAUUUUACUUAUUCCAAAUUUUAUAUUUUCGCUAUAUUUCACUAUUUGGCUUUUAAUUGGAAUCUCAUAAGACUUCCAAUACUUUCUGAAUGAUUCUAAGCAUAGUUUUACUUCAAUUCUAGUAAAAACUAUCUGUUAGAACUCAACAUCCAAAUUCACAUAAUAUUUCCUAAUAUUAUUAACUUAAAACACGAUUUCAAAACGUGUAUGUUACAGUCAUCACCGUCAUCCUCAUACAUAUAUCUUGAAUCGGAGCACUCUCCGCCUUGUGGCUCAGAGCAUCGGCUACCACAUUAGCCUUGUCCAAGUGGUACAGGAUCUCACAGUCGUAAUCCUUUACCACAUCCAACGAUCUCCUAUGGCGCAUAUUUAGGUUGGGCUGAUGCAUCAGAUACUUCAAACUCUUAUGGUUCGUGUAUAUGGUACAUUGAACCCCAUACAAAUAAUGGCGCCAUAUGUUGAGGGCGAACGCCACUGCCCCCAACUCCAAAUCGUGGAUAGGAUACUUUGUCUCAUGAGGCUUCAACUGCCUUGAUGUGUAUGCUAUCACAUGCCCUCUCUGCGUAAGCACCACACCCAACCCCGAUAUCAAUGCAUCCCAAUAUACCACAAAAUCCUCCAUUCCGUCCGGAAGGGCUAACACCGGGCUUCGCAUAAUCUCUGGCGAAGAGUCUCAAAUGAGGUCUGCUGCUCGGGACCCCAAGUAAAAACAACGCCCUUCCGGGUCAACCUGGUGAGGGGAACGAUAAUAUUGGAGAAAUCCAUGAUAAUUUUCGAUAGUAGCCGGCCAAUCCCAGAAAACUCCUGAUCUCGGUGGGGGAUCUCAGCACCACCCAACUCAUAACCGCCUCAAUCAUGGCCGGAUCAACCAAUAUCCCAUUCUGAUUAAUGAGGUGCCCCAAGAACUGGACCUCUCAUAAUCAGAAGUCACACUUGGAGAAUUUGGCUUAAAGCCUCUCCGAUCUCAACACCCCAAGGAUCUCUCUCAGGUGCUCGUCAUGCUUCUCUCUGGAUCUCGAAUACACUAAAAUAUCAUCAAUAAACACGAUCACCGAUCGAUCUAACAUCAGUCUGCACACUCGGUUCAUGGGAUCCAUGAAUGUUGUCGGUGCAUUGGUGAGCCCAAAAGGCAUCACCAUGAACUCAUAAUGCCUAUAACGAGUCCAAAACACUGUCUUCGAGAUAUCCUCAUCACGCACCCUCAUCUGAUGAUAUCCCAACCUCAAGUCUAUCUUGGAGAACCAAGAUGCACCCUGCAACUGAUCGAACAAAUCGUCGAUCCUUGGUAGUGGUUAACGGUUCUUGACCGUUAACUUGUUCAAUUCCCGGUAGUCAAUACAAAUCCGGUGUGAUCCAUCCUUUUUCUUGACAAAAACGAUCAGCGCUUCCCAUGGUGAGCUACUCGGUCGGAUGAAUCCCUUUCGUAGCAGCUCCUGAAGCUGCGAGGAUAGCUCCUGCAUCUCUGGUGGCACAAGGCGAUAGGGUGCCUUGGCAAUAGGCGCCGUUCCCGAAACCAAAUUAAUAUGGAACUCCACCUGCCUUUCCGGAGGCAUACCUUGCAACUCCUCAGGGAAAACAUUUGGAAACUCACGUACUAUCGGGACCUCAUUGAUAGAGCUCGGCCUCUCUGCGGGAACUCUUGUAUCCAUCACAUAGGCUACAAACCCCUAACCGCCCAGCUAUAGACUCUGUCUCGCUCCGGCAGCCGAACAAAAUGCUGACCCAGAUCGGGUACCCUCACCAUACACCGUAAGUACUCCCCUACUAGGGUCUCAUAUGGUCGCCAACUGUCGCUCGCAGUCUAUAAAAGCUCUAAAUCGGCUCAAGCAGUCCAUGCCUACGAUGACACAGACAUCCCCCAUCGCAAUCGGUACCAGAUCUAUCGGGAACUCAACACCAAAAAUCUCGAGUACACAUCCUCGAAUCACAUCAGCAGCGUAAACCGCUUGCUCGUCAGCUAUGGAAACUCGUAAAGGGCGACUCAUCGCCUUUCGUCAGAUACUAAUGUGCUGGCUAAAUGCUAAUGACACAAAAGAUCGACUCGCACCCGAGUCAAAUAACACCAAAGCAGGUACAUAACUCACAAGGAAAGUACCUAUGCAUAUCAUAAUAUAAGCACAAUAUCUCAAACUUAGAAUAAAUAAAUAAAAGAAUACAUACCAGCCAUGACAUCGGGCGCUGUGCGGACCUCCUGCGCUCUCAACUAAAAGGCUCUCCCGCGAGCCUUCGGUGCCUCAGCCUUCAUUGGCCGGGCCUCGGUAGCUCUAGCUGAAGCAGGAGUAGAUCGCUGUGCUGAUCCUUAAAGUAGAUGUGGGCACUCGGCCUUCCGAUAGGAAGUCUCGUUGUAGUGAAAGCAAACUGCAAACCCCUUGGGGCAAUCCCUCGUGAAAUGCCCCUCCUUGCCAUACUUGUAGCACGCUCCUACUCUGCACACUCCCUCAUGGCUCUUUCCGCACUUCCUACAGGUGUGGCCCUUCUGUCCCCCAUAUCUCGAAUCAGCUGGCUUUGCCCGCUUGGCUGCCGGCUGUGACGAAUCGGUCGCCUGUCCCCCCCUCUGAGACUCGACCUCCUCCCUAGCAUGAGUCUUUAGCUCAAUCUCUUUGUUCCGGGCAUUUGGCUGGAGCUCGACAUAUGUCCUAUAUGACGAGUUCUCCACGAACUCACAAAUGUCUCUCCUCAGAAUGCUCAGAUAUCAGCUCAUACGUGCCUGCUCGGUAAACACGUGCUCAGGGCAAAACAACCCCUCUCGUGAAACAUCUGCGUAAUCACAGUCACAGACUACGUCCCCUGCUUGAGGGACAAGAACUCCUGGGCCAACCAUUCCCUCUCCACUGGGGGGAACAUACUCAUCUCGGAACAUGGCAGGGAACCUCUCCCAGGUCACCGAUGUAAUCUCUGCAGAAGUGAAAUCAACUGUCACAAACUUCAACUAGUCCUUCGCUACCAAGCGAAGCUGGUUCAGCGCGAACUGUACCCUCAGAUGCCCCGGUCAAGAACAGGUGCAGAAGCAUCCCUCAAUAUCAGAGAUCCACCUCAUCGCAUCUAUCAUAUCCUGAGUCCCAUCAAACUUUGGUGGCUUCGUGUUGUUGAACUCUCGGUACGGCAAUGAGUCACCCACUUGCGACCUCACGGCGGCGACAGCCGCAAUGGUCAGAGCAGCAUACCGCUCAUCAAAUGUCUAAAUCAACUUGGUCUUGAUAGACCCAAACAUCUCCGGUAUCUCAGCUCGGAUGGCGGCAGCCACCUCCUCGUGAAUCAUCCUAUGGAUCUCCUCAUCACUAGUACCACUGGUCCCACUGCCUCUUGGGUUGUGGCAUGUCCCCACCAUGAUGUCUCUGAAAUACAACAUAAAACAAUCAAAGACUCGACCGAGCUUUCUCACACUCGAUCAACCGUUCCGACUUGUUCCUUAGCAUCCUAAGGAUUCCUUCUUGGGAUGUUUACCGAUCCGGUGCUUUCAGUAGUACGGGCCCAAUACUACCUUCCACACCAUAUCAGUAUCCACACCAAGUCCUCCUCCUAGGAUCCCAAUUCGGAAGUACUCUGUACCCCCUGAAUUCAGCCUAGUCUCACGCAGACUUCUCACAAGCUACUAUUUGCUACCUACAUGCACUCAGGGCACUCACAACAACAUAAACUCCUAGGCUAAGGCAUUAUAUAUCAGGCCACCCUAGUCCUAAAAUAUGAUUUACCUAGCCUAUUCUAGCAUGCAUAGCACAUCAAAUAAUAUCUCAUAACACGUAAUGUGAGGGUAUUUUGGGAAAUCACCAUUCGGGCGCUGGCUGAUCGUACACACUGCUCCUUCUUGCUCUACUCAAAAUCUUUUACUCUUUAUAGAAAAAAAUGUUUUUUUUUAUGAAAGAUUUUCUCAAAUCUUCAGUUUGAGUUCAGAUACGCCCAAAGGUGCAUCUGAAUCCCUCAAACCAAGGCUUUGAUACCAACUUGUAACAAAGUAAAUUUUCAAAAAAAAAAUUCAUUUUUCAAAUAAAACAUGUCUCAUACAAAUCAUCUCAAAACUCGAGUAUAGCAAAUGUCAUCAUGAUAAAACAUAACCCAGAAUCCCAAACACUAUCCUCUACCAGUGUGUAUAAAUCUUGUCGGCGCCUUCCCGCGAUCCUCGCUGGUACCUGAAACACAUGUCACAUAACACAGUAAGCAUAAAUGCUUAGUGAGUUUCCAACAAUACCACAUACAAACAUAAGCCACUCGAGGCUAUAACUCGGUAAGACCCUUUGGUCAAUGUGUCUCAGCGGAACCCUCUAGUCACGUAGCUCGUUGGACCCUCCGGUCUGGUCUGCUUGAGGACCCUCUGGCCUCGUAAGUCGUUAGACCCUACGGUCCGGUCUAUCACAUAGCAUACAUAAAUCACAAAGUACAUAAUCUCAAACAAGCACAUAACACGUAAGACCCUCCGGUCUGCACAUAGAUACCACUCUAAGUAAUGUAUAGUGAGAAGACUCACCUCGUUAGAUGUCUAGAAAACUCUCGUGUUUGAAUCCCCGAUCUAGCCUCCUCUUAUCAAAAUGAUAAUAUCUCAACUCAAUACUCACAUACGUUCUCAUCUUUAAAGAAUGGGUAGAAGACCAUUCUACCCCUCCAUGGCCUCUCAUAAAUCCGUUUAACCAAAACCCUAAGGUUAACGAUAGUCAACUCCAACCAUUGGUCCAACUCUGACCAGAGUCGUCGAGUGCACUUGGGUGACUCGGUGAGUCUAUGCGUGUCCUUUGAAUGCUCCUUAGGCAUCACUCGACUCGUCGAGUUAACCUUACACUCGACGGGUUACCAAUGAAUCUUGAUGCAACUCGAUCUGCCACGUCGAGUCCUCUUAUGGACUCGAUGAGUUUCACUAACUUAUAGAUCUGGCCUUCUAGCACCCAAAAGUUCCGUAAAAGUGAAACCUUUAUGCCCAUGCACCACACAUUUAGCUCUAUUUAUUAAAAUAACCUUCAUAAUGGUGUCAUAGGCUUAAUCCUCUUAUGUAACGACAUAAAGUUUGACUCAUCGGACUCUCUGGAUCUCUCAAGGUGUAGAUCUGAAGUCUAAGCCUCAAGGGGACCUCAUAUACUCAAUAUCUUACACUAAAAGAGGGUAAAGAAACCCUAAUUUCAUGAGGUCUUAUAAUCAUUAGAAAUAAUUACAGAUUCGAACCUUAAACAGCACCCUAGAAUGGAAUAGAAUUAGAUCUGAGCUCCUCUAGUUGAUUUUGCUUGAACAACCUUCUGUUGGAUUAGUGUCUAAGUCCAUAACUAUAUUUGGUAUGUACUUGACACGACUCGGGAUGGUGCAUUUGGGUUGCAUGGCAUCUGCAUUUGGAUUUACUAAAAUGAGAGAAAUAACACUUAAGGUUUGGUAAUAUAUUAUAAGUUCUAAUAUAUUAAUAAGAUUAUUUCAUUAGUAUUGAUCAAUAAUUAAUUUGGAAUUAAUUAAGUGAUCAAAAGGAGACUAAUUAAAUAUAUGGGUUGAUUAUGUAAAUCAUCCAUACUUGUAUAGUGGGCUAAUGCUCCAUGGAUUAUCAAGUUGGGCUAAAACCCAUAGGAUGCUCCAUGGUGUUUUUGUACCCAUGGAUCAUGGAAAUGAAAGGCCAUGACAAUUUGUGUCAUCCUCAUUUUCAGGGCUAGAAAAGACCGAUUUUGUUUAUGCUUUAUAAAAAUCAGAGCACCUUUUUUAAUAAAAAUGUUGGUGAAUUUGUUCCCAGUAAAACAUGAUAAAUACAUUAUCAAAGCAUUUUCAAAGAAAACUAUUUUUAUUCAUUUUAAAACAUUCGAGAUGUCAUCGUCAAUACAGAAACAUAAGCACAAACAUAAGUUACAUUCAUUAUCAAUAGUGAUUUAUAUCUCCUUAAUCUCUCAGUGUAAUCUGACUUCAUAUCAACACAUGUGAUAUAAAUAAACUGAGUGGGUUAGGUUGUGAAAUCUGGUGAAUACAUAGGGUUUUCAACCCAUAAUAAAUAAGUUUAUUACCUUUAUCAAACCAAACAAACCCGAUUACCCAUUCCCAUUAUCCUCACUUUACGUCCCUAAAACAUCUAACACAAGGGACCUAGUCUAAGAACUUUCAUCAGGGUGACAACACAUACUUUAGGGGUUCCUCAGCAUUUCAUGUCAAAUAAGGCAACCAUGUGGGGGAUGGAGUACUGCUGGUGAGCACAUAGUUCAAAUUAACACCUAUAGGUCGCGAGUCUGCUAGGGUUCCAUUGGAUUGUCUAGAAUAGUCUGUGGUCGUCACCUAUACACCGUUAGAUGACUAGAUCAUCAAUAACAUCUAUAUCGAGGCCUCUCAUUAUUUUAUUUGGUCACACAACAACUAUUACAUCUACCCAUGUUUUACCCAACACAUUUUGUAGAUAUAAAAUACAUAUAUACAGAUUAAAUCAUUUAAAACGUGUAUAAAAAUAUUUCACCCAGCAUAGACAGCAAGUAUUCAGAAAAUAUGCACACAUAGCACGUAAUUUAUAUUAAAUACUUCAUAUCUAUGUGUAAGAUGAAAUAAACCAUGUACUCACUUGAAAAAGUGGUGAUUCCAAACUCAGACAGCGUUUCGCUUCUUAAAAAUAAUUUCCUUUGACGAAACCUAGUAUUAUUACCACUAGAGUUUAGGUUAUUAUUCGCCGAGACUAAUUAAUUGUCUAGCUAUUAUUACUAUUAUAUAAGCGUUAAACAAUACUUAUAUAACCCAUAAUAAUACCCCAAGUACUUAUUAUAAGUUCCUAACAAUGUUCCUAUAAUUAAAUAAAAGUUAUAUUGAAAAUAGCGUAGACGUAGUUCAGUUACAACGAGUUUUAUAGAAAACUAGGCUUUGUUUGGAGCAGCGUUCCUGAGCAGCGUAGGCGUAGUUCACUUACAGCGGGUUUCAUCUGUCUUUUUACCGUUGGGUCCCUAUUUAUUAGAUCUUCAAUUCUCAUAUAGGUCGUGUAGGCCAAAAACUGCUCGAUCUAAAAUUCAAGUUUCGGGCUGUGCACUGCUAAGUCAAGAUUAGAAAAUUCAUAACUUCCUCAUACAAAGUUAGAUUUGGGCGUUCUUUUUUCGUAUGUUCUCCGUUUAACAUAUACUACAACUUUUGUUUAGAUUUAUAAGGCUAAAAAGUCCCCCAUCAUAAAUUCACUAUUACUUCUCCCGGUGUCGUGCUGGUUUUGCCAUAAAACUUCGACGGACCAUAACUUCUUUGUUAUAACUUAGAUUUUGGCAUUCUUUAUAUGUACGGAACCCUUGAGAUGUAUUAUACAACUUGGUUAGGAUUAUUUAUUAUAAAUAAUCUUUUGUCGAAAAGUCGUUUUCGACCCCUAUUAUCUUGAAAUUGACUAGCCCGGAUCUACGGGCAUUACAAUUAUAUCCCCCUUAGGAUGAUUACGUCCAGGAAUCAUCAACAAAAUAGGGCUCACAUGAUGACUCCAUAUGUUAUCUCUUCAUCCUAAGUAGUAACCAUACCUUUGAUGUUUCUUCGAACGAGUAUCUAACUCUAACACUUCUUGAUUGCAGGCGGCGCUCGAUGUUGCACUUGCUCCCUAUCUCACGUUAGACUCCAAAUUAUGACCUUGAAGUCACAAUCUCGAUCCUUACUGGAGACUGCUUAUUCUUCUUAACAAACUUAAGAUAAUUCAUUUUAUUACUACAAUAGACCGAUGUGUCGUAUUCUAAUGACUUAUCAUCGUAUGUUCCCAUGCUUAUACUCAGGUCUCUUAGAGUCUUCUAGAUAGACUAUACAUUUCUUCAUGUUCUAAUCACAUCUUAAAAGGUAGCACUUCUAGCUACAAGCAACUAUCAUGAUACCUCUACCGAUCGCUUUGAUUAUCUUUUAUUUUAAUCUUCUGGCUUAAGUAAGAUGCUACAUCAAACUUGGUUCUCUGAACCACAUAACAUACUUAUUGUAGUCGAACUCAAUUCGAUAUGACCACUAGGGUCAGAAUAACAAUCGUCCUCUUAGUCAUUACGGAAACGAUGGUAACGACAUAUUUGAAUAAAACAGUAUCAAUUACAAGUUUCUUGCUAACCUUGUGACUUUCCCUGAUCCAAGCGUGAGUCCUGUGCUUCCGGUAGUAUAGGCGUUUACUACCUUUCACACCUACUCAUACUCGUCCCAAGUAUUAUCUCGCAGUUCACCCAAGUCACCAUACAAGAAAAUCACAUAACAACUUGACACAUUAGAUAACAAAAUGAUGGUUUUAUAUUAUUACUUGAAACAAUUACAUAGUUAUUCAAGUUCAACCUAUACUAUGCCUCUAAUAGGCUAAACCACGUGGUACUAUUUACAUGACUGUUUCAUAGAUCCUCAAUCCUGAUCCCUUUCAUUUCCAUCUUCUUCGUCAAGGAUCAUAUGGAACGCUCUUGCCUUCGGUUUCGGUGGAAUGUUUGGUCUUGCCGCCUCUUUCUUCUUCGGGCAAUCCUUAGCAAAGUUCCCUUCUUCACGACAUUCAUAACAUACCCUUUUGCUGGCGGAGCACUCAUUGGCAUAAAGUCCGGUCUUCCCAUACUCGUAGCAAUUCACUUCCUCGCUACAUUUCCCGAAGUGCUUCUUCUUGCACUUCACGCACCAUUUCACUUUGUUUCCUCCUCCGCUAAACUCCUUUGAACAAGACUUAAUCUUCUUAUUGGGCCUCAUAGACCCCUCAAACUUACUCUUUUCGCCAACCUCAAUCUUGUUGGCAACUCUUCACUUAAUCAUAUCCUCCACAGACUUGGCAGCCCAGAUAGCUGCCUCCAGAGUAGGUGUCCGACGCACUGGCACUGCGUACUCCUUUGGAAGUCCCUUUGCAUACUUGUCGAUUUUCAUCAGCUCAUCCGGAACAAGAUGCAAGGCUAAUUCCAUCUUUUAUGUGAAGAUGUUGGUGUAUUCAUCAAUUGACAUGCUUCCUUUCUUCAAGGUCAGGAACUGGUUCUCUAGCUCGAGCAGGUUUUGGGUUGAGCAGUACUUGUGUUUGAACUGCACCAAAAACUCUGCCCAUGUCAGUUGUAGGGGCUUAUUGGGGCUCAAAGUCUUCCCUAAGGUAUUUCAUCAGCGCACAACACCUCCUCAGAAUUGACCUACUGCAAAGGUCGUUUGUAACUUGCCUCUGCAACCACACAUCAUGAAAGCUAACUCCAUCUCCAAGAUCCAAUCCGUGACUCUGAUCGGAUCAUAAUUUCCAGUUAAAGUCGAUGGCUUGCAAGUCAGAAAAUCCUUGUACUUGCAUCCAUUCCUCUCGACUCUAUCAUACUGGUUGUUUUCUUGAACUAUUGGUGGGUUGGCUUGACCAACAGUCACACUAUAAUUCCCUCCUUCUAACUGCCCAUCGUUCAAUUUGGGCUGUUCAACUGGCAUUGUAGGUUCGUCCCUAUUUUCAUGCAACAUCUGGCUCAUCUCUUCCUGUUGUUCAGCCGACAUAGCCCGUAUCAUGGCUUGUACUCCGACCAUUGUAAUUGGCUCAAGAGCAUCCGCUACAACAGGUAUUUGUUCAAUCACUGGUGGUUGAUUCAUGUUCCCAUUUGCAUUUGCGGCUCCACUACGAGUUCUUGCCAUUUCAAUCUAUAUACCAAAUUAGACGUUCGGUGUGCAAUGACGAGAAUUAAGAUAGGAAAGAUUUUAUUUACGAUCGACGUGUAAUUCUCCCUAUUUCUCUGAAAAGUUAUAUGCCAGUUCUAAGACCGUAAUUAAACGUUUAGAAAUCUGAACACAUAAAGUUUCCAGAUCCGGUAGGCAACAGACCAUAGAUCUGAUCAUACAAUGCAUAUCUCUAUGGUUUGUUGCCAUUUCGAUCUAUAUACCAAAUCAGACAUUCGGUGUGCAAUGACAUGAAUUAAGAUUGGAAAGAUUUUAUUUAGGAUCGACGUGUAAUUCACCCUAUUUCUCUGAAAAGUUAUAUGCCAGUUCUAAUACCGUAAUUAAACAUUUAUAAAUUUGAACACAUAAAGUUUCCAGAUUCGGUAGCCAACAGAUCAUAGAUCUGAUCAUACAAUGCAUAUCAUAAAUCAUUUAGCACAUAAAAGCAUGUUAGGCAUUUUCCCUAAAUUAGCUAGUGCUUGUGUCUAUUUAGGUGCUUUACCUAAAUUUUAUUAGACACACUCCUCAAAAUCCUUGCUUAGCAUUCUAAGUUUAAGUCUAGAAAUAAAUCCAUAUUCCUAGUUCGCUUAAACUAAUGCUCUAAUACCAAUUAUGACAUCCACAUUUUCACGGCCAGAAAAGACCGAUUUUGUUUACUCUUUAUAAAAAUCAAAGUACCUUUUUUAAUAAAAAUAUUGCGGAAUUUCUUCCCAGUAAAACAUGAUAAAUACGUUAUCAAAGCAUUUCCGAAGAAAAGUAUUUUUAUUCAUUUUAAAACAUUUGGGAUGUCAUCUUCAAUACAGAAACAUAAGCACAAACAGAACUUACAUUCAUUAUCACUAGUGAUUUAUAUCUCCUUAAUCUCUCAGUGUAAUGUGACUUCAUAUCAACACCUGUGGUAUAAAUACACUGAGUUGUUCAGGUUGGGAAACCUGGUGAUUACAUAGGGUUUUCAACCCACAAUAAAUAAAUUUAUUAACUUUAUACAACCAAACAAACCCGAUUACCUGUUCCCGUUAUCCGCACUUUACGUCCCUAAACAUCCAACACAAGGGAUCUAGUCUAAGGAAUUCCAUCGGGGUUACAACACAUGCUUCGGGGGUUCCUCAGCAAUUCAUGUCAAAUAAGUCAACCAUGUGUGGGAUGGAGUACUGUUGGUGAGCACACAGUUCAAAUAAACACCUACAGGUUGCGAGCCUGCUAGCAUUCCACUGGACUAUCUAGAAUAGUCCGUGGUCAUCAUCUAUACUCCGCUAGAUGACUGGAUCAUCAAUAACAUCUAUAUCGAUGCCUCUCAUUAUUUUAUUUGGUCACACAGCAACUAUUACAUCUACCCAUGUUUUAACCAACACAUUUUGUAGAUAUAAAAUACAUAUACAGUUUAAAUCAUUUAAAACAUGUAUAAAAAUAUUUCACCCAGCAUAGACAGCAACUAUUUAGACAAUAUGCACACAUAGAAUGCAAUUUAUAUUAAAUACUUCAUAUCUAUGUGUAAGAUGAAAUGGACCAUGCACUCACUUGAAAAUGUGGUGAUUAAACUCAGACAACACUUCGCUUCUUAAAAAUAAUUUCCUUCGACGAAACCUAGUAUUAUUACCACUAAAGUUUAGUAUAUUAUUCGCCGAGACUAAUUAAUAGUCUAGCUAUUAUUACUAUUAUAUAAGAAUUAAACAAUACUUAUAUAACCCAUAAUAAGAGACCAAUUACUUAUUAUAAGUUCCUAAUAACGUUGCUAUAAUUAAAUAAAAGUUAUAUUAAAAAUAGCAUAGGCGUAGUUCACCUACAAUGGGUUUUCUAGAAAACCAGGCUUUGCUUGGAGCAGCGUUCCUGAGCCGAAAAGCUCUUCUUCUCGGAGCCUUCGAGCACUCCGGGGCUUCCGCCUUGUGUUAGGGAGGUUCCCUAGGCUUUUCGGGGGGUUUCGGGGCUAGAGAGAGGUUCUAGAGAGAGAGAGAGAGAGAGAGUAAAGAGAAGAAAGAAUGGGAAAUGUGUGAAGAAAAUGAGGGUGGGAGAGAUUCUAUUUAUAGGGUGAAAUAUGGCUGAACUUGAUGCCACAUGUCACCAUCUAGUGGCAAGACUUGGGGAGAAAGCAAUGGCCAAGAUUAUGCCACGUCACCCAUUUUCGCACAUUACACUUCCAACUUCUAAAAUCCGUAACUUUCACAUACAAGCUCCGUUUUUGACGGUCUUUAAAUCCACGCGUAGGUAAAAAUAAGAUCUAGAACUUUCGUUUUGACUCCGUCGGCUAAUUCUCGACCAAUUUAAAAUUUAACAGUACGAGGUGAUUAUACUAUUAAAUGUCCGUGUAAAUUCAUAACUUCUACAUACAGACUUUGUUUUCAUCUGUCUUUUUGCCGUUGAGUUCCUAUUAAUGAGAUCUUCAAUUGUCAUCUAAGUCACGUAGGCCAAAAACUGCUCGAUCUAAAAUUCGAGUUUCGGGUUGUGCAAUGCUGAGCCAAAACUUAGAAAAUUCAUAACUUCCUCAUACAAACUCAGAUUUAGGCGUUCUUUUUUUGUAUGUUCUCGGUUUAAUGUAUACUAAAACUUUUGUUUAUAAUUCUAUGGCUAAAAAGACCUCCAUCAUAAAUUCACUAUUUAUGUCUUUCAGUGUCGUGCUGGUUUUGUCGUAAAACUUCGACAGACCAUAACUUCUUCGUUAUAACUCAGAUUGCAACAUUCUUUAUAUGUUUGGAACCCUUGACAUGUAUUCUACAACUUGGUUAAGAUUAUUUAUUCUAAAUAAUCUUUUGUCAAAAAGUCGUUUUCGACCCCUAUUAUCUCUAAAUUGACUAGCUCGUAUCUACGGACGUUACACAAUUAGGGUUUACAUGGUGUAACCCUAAUUGUUACACACUAUAUAAGCAUCUUAUUCUUUUCAAAAUCGGCCACCAUGAGAGACUAUGAAGGAAUGGUGAGGCUAGCCGAUUUCAUGAAGUGUAUCAUUUCUCUCUAAGUUAUUCCAUGUGUAUUUGACGUUGUGUGAACCAUUUGAGGUGUCACACUUGGGGCACUAGGCUCUCGAGCUUCAUGGAGUUAAGCUGCAUCUACAAGGUAUGUAUUUCUAUCUAGUUUAUUAUUGAAGUAUCAAAAGAUUAUAUGCUAGUUAGGGUAAUACCUUGGAAUAUUCAUAUUUACAUGUAUAAUAGAGAAAAGAUAGAUCCAAGGUAUUUAGGGUUGCAUCUACACUUAGGAGUAUUAGAAUGCUCAAAACCCAACAAUGGUAAUAGAGCCUAGUAUUGUGUUCUUGUUAUACUUGCAAAAUCUGCUUAAAAUCGAAGUUUUUUGUCGUCUGCGCAACUGACCCGGCGAGUCCAUCAGGUGACUCGAUGAGUCCAUGCCUUAAAAGUCCCCAGAUAGCAUAUCUUCGACUGUUUUGGCUGGAAAUGGAAUAGGAACUUUACCCUAAGUUGUUUUUCAACUUAUAAACCUGUUUUUGAUGCGAUAAUGUUCAUGCUAAUCCAAUUUCAAAGAUAAUUUUUAAAAGAUUCAUGUUUUGUAUUAGUUUAAGGUUUAGGCUAAUUACAUGAAAAAGUUUGAUUUGAAUUAUCUUGCUCUUAUGAGUUGCUUAGACUAAUAGGAAAGUUAUGUGAAAUUGUUGUUCUCAAUCCAAAUUAAUCUAAGAGUUGGUUCUAAAAUGUUUGUUUUGUAACUUGUCCUCAAUUUAUAUGAAAAGUCACAUUUAAGAUCCAUAAAACUCAUAAAUAUUUCCAUAAGUUAUGAAUAAGGAAGAGUAACAUUCUUUUAAUAGUUUAAAGUCUUCCAUAACUUGUCCUCAAGUUAUGGAACUUGAAGAGUUUUUGGAUUAAACCUACUUUAAACACAUAAGUUAUGGAAUUGAAUAGUUUUGAUUAGUUUCAAAACUUGCCCUCAAGUUUUGGAAUUUGAAAAGUUUUCCCUAAUGAAUACUUUAAUUCCAAGUCAAGCCCUUAGAAUUUUAAAAGUUAAAAUUCAACCCUUAUACUUUAUAAUAUUAUAAGUAAAUAAUAUUUAUAUAUGUAUAAGAGCAAGUCGUCUUACCAUUAGUAGGCCUCAUUCACAAAGCCGGUCUAUAAGGGGGGUAUAAGGUUACUGCCUAUAAAAUGGCAGUUUAAUGGGUAUCCACUCUCACCCACCGCUUCCUUGACUUGUGGAGGGUCGUUAGCCGAACGGGUAGGACAAAGACUAUAAUUCUCCCUUCAUUAAAAAGUAUUAAUGAUAAAUAUAAUAUAACUAAAAUGUAUUUAUAAUUCCCAAUCUUAUUUGCUUUAGGAAAAUGUGAAUAAGGUGCUAAUCCAUGAAAUUACACUUUGCAGUUUGCUUAAGUUGGUUAGUGGAGUGUGUGUGGUUAACCGGCACAAUAGAUUGUUUUAACAAGGUAAGCAGAGGGUAACUUAAUAUUUAUCAUAGUAUCGGUGGAGCGCGUGUGGUUAACCGGCACAUCGAUUCAGGUGUAAAUAUUAAGGGUACCAAGUAAGUUGCAUGGUUACUUCACACCUUGUUUUGUGAUCCUCGGCAUCCCAGUCACAAAACCUGAAGGGCACACUCGAGAUUGAAACAUUCCAUUGAAUAAUUCAAUGAAUCUCAAAAGAUCUAGGAGUUUCAAAUCCAAGUAAAAUCUAAUUAAAUUGUUUCAUUUUCAUGAUGGAAAUUGGUGAAUCGUCGUUCGCCUACCUUCAAAUAUUUUAUAGCUUGGAUUACGACAUCCCUCUUCCAAGUUAUAAAAGUAUUGUGUUGGGUCCUAGCCUUAAUAUUUCAUAUUGGGUGUUAUAUUAAGGACUUUAGAUCAACUAUCUUGAAUAUCUCCCAAAAGAUGUCUAGUUCAGACAUCUAUGAUCUUCCCAAAUCUCUUGGAACUUCACUUCCUCCACCUUCUCCAAUUAUCCUCCCUAACCCACAAGUUCAAGGUCACUCAAGCCCUAUUGGCAAGCAAGGUCUAUGUGUGCUCACAUCUUGGAGAUGAAGUCACAUAUUGACAGAUUUCUCUUCCCAAGGAAAUAGAUUGACCAUAGUCAAAUGGUAAAGAGAAAGGAAAGUCUGAGAUAGUCCAGUGCACCAUUCCCAAAGAGUCCAUAUGUUUUGCCAAAGGAAUGGGCAUUGAUUGCGAAGCUGCUUAUUUACCUGAAAGAUCAUAAGGAUGAUCAAGUCAAGAAGUUUGACUCUACUUCAGGUAAAGACUACUAUCUAACUCUGUUAAGUUUCUAUUCUGAGUUUCUUGUUACAUGAUGUGACUGGGUCACAUGUUGAUGUUUUAAAAAUCAAAGAAAAGUGAAAAAACUUAAAGGAAGUAUAUGUUGAUUCUGAUCGCGACAAUGGAUUUCGAUCGCACGGUUCGGUGAUCAGAAUUUUGAGCUGUUACUUAGGAGUUAUGAUAUAUUGCUUCGGAAUAGAUAACAACAAAGUUUUCCAUAUACUUUUGCUAUGUAUGGAUAAGUUUUUCCGCAAAGUUUUAAAAUAAAAGGAAAUUUUUUAUUUUUUGUAUCCUAAGUAUCCUUACAAUGGCGUUUGUGGAUAAUUGUUGCUUAUAUGAUUCCAUUGAUAGCAAUAUUGGAAAAUGGAUUUGUUCCUUUUAUUUGUGGUAGUGUCUAAAUUUACCAAACAAGGAAAGAUUCUCAUCACCCAAGCUUUCAGUUGGAUAGAAACUUGGAAAUCAUGCAAGUUGUAUAGUAUAAUGAAUGAGAAUUUUCAUCUUUGGAAAAUUAAGACUAAUUCCUUAUUCACAUGUAUAUGUGAGUCAAGUGAAGGACUAAGGGAUCAAGUACACAUUGUUGUGCACUGAUCAAGUACACCACAAAAAAACAACAAGACUAUUCAUUAUGGUUUACUAAAGUUUAGUAAAUAUGGUUAUACUUAUAAGUUUAAGUAUAAUUCUAAACAUUGGAAAACUUUCAAUGUAUGGUAGAACGAAUGAGAAGAAUCGAAUUAGGCAGAAAGAUAAAAGUUUUUCAAAUUUGAAAAGAUGGGAGAGUACUUUAGUAUCAUGUUUUGUGAUCAUCUUAAUGAUUAAAGAACCAUAUCACAAUUGGUCUUCUUGGGACAUCUUAGUGCAUUGUUAUGGCUAAGAAGAUAAGUCAUGAAUUGUUGGUAUGAUGAAAUCAAGAAGAUGAGUCAUACUUCGUUCCAAAACAUGUCUUAGAGUCAUACUCCAAGACUGUAAGUUGAGUGACAUAUCUUAAACAAAGGUUUAUAACACUAGUCAAAUGUAAGAGUAAAGUGUACCCCACUCCUGUACAUUUGAAAUUGGAAAGUUGUGAUGUUCUGGAUAUAACAGAGACCAACUUAAGGCCAAUUGUGUGAAGUGUUUGUCUUGAUAAAGAAUCUGCACUAUCUCUUGAAUAUUUGGCAAGAUAGUUUUAUAUGUCAAGAGGACAGUGGGAGUCUUAAAGAUCCUGAAAAGUAUUUCAAGAUCUAAUCAAGAAUAAAAAACCUGUACUUGAACAUUAGCACACGACGUGAGGUUUAUAACCUAUCAUGUUGACAUAUUUUUAUUUUUGUGCCCUUUCCAGUUAAAGUUGGCUUUGCAUAUUAGUUGUUAGACUUCUCAAUUGGUUGCAUAACAACUUAGAAGCAAUGGCAGGCCCUCGAGCUGCCAGGAGGCAAGAAAUUCAGAUUGAGUUUAGUCCGUAUGAGUUUGGAUUUGCCAUUAUCCUUCUCUUGUGAUUAUGGUUUUGACAAAUUCACAUGGAUAGGAACACAUACACCGUAAAAUCUAAUUAUCAUAAGGUUUCACUCCGAUUCAUGAAAAUGAUGGUGACGAAACACUUUCACUAAGUAGAUGUUAAGUAGAUAACAGUUGUGAUAUUUGCAUUCUCAAAGUAGUUAGUGGAGCAUGUGUGGUUAACGGGCACACUAACAUGGACUUGUGAGAAAUGGAAAAGGUCUAAACAAUUAAGAUUAUGAUUACGACAUCCCUUUUCAUAGUUCUGAAAUUGUUUAGAAACACAUGUGUGCUAUCUAAGGAAAGGUGUGUGAUAUUGAUAAAGUUUUAUCAAAGCAUCUCGUAUCAGAAGUCUGAACUUUGUUAAGAAAGUCAAUAAAGUAUUGAAUUCUAGAAGUCCAACUACUUUCUGAGUACAUGUCAAAGCUUGUGGGAGCACAAGUCUUAUGCUAAUAAUCGUCAUGUUAGUGGGAGCAUGAUAAUUAUGAAAAAGGUUGCAAGUUAGCAAUGUUAAUUAUAGAGAACAAAAGUUUCAAUUCGUGAAGUCGCAGGGGUUGAAAAUUUGUUCUCAUAUAAUUAAGGGAGAGGAAAUUAUACUUNUAUAUAUAUAUAUAUAUAUAUAUAUAUGAAUUUUAUGUUGGUUUGGCUCAACAUGAGGAAAUUCUAUAUAUGGGUCUAUUAUUUACGUUCUAAAAUUCGAUUAUGAUUACGCCAUCCUUUUUCAUAAUCAGAUUAUGACAACUUUGCAAAUAGAAAUAGAAAUUUUAUAGCAAAAGGCUGGUCUAGUAUCAUGUCUUUAUGAAUCGUGUCCUAUAUGCUUCGGAUGUAGGAUCGAUUGCAUGUGCUAUAAUAUUCAUCCUUUCAAAACUUUUCCAAAUGUCAGGGGCAUUAAGAAGGGAAAAGGUCUAGAAUUGGAUAUGACUAAAAAGAUUAAGAAAUUUUCGAGGACAACUAAGGUUUACCAAAGAUUGGUUGCUCAAGGACAGUUGGAAGUAUAAUGUUAAUUUUGGAAAGACCAUAUUGAUAUAUUCUGAAAAGAGGCAACUCUUGUUCAAUAGUAAUAGUCAAAAUGGGAAUAUGGAAAUGUUCCCAUAGGUGGAAGUUAUUCAUUAAAUCGGUGUAAGAUUAGGAAACUUAAUGCGAGAAGAAUGUUCAAAGGCAAUAAACUUUGAGUAUGAGACUUCGGUUCUACGGAGUUGGUCUCCAUUGGAAUAAUCUAUAAUGUAUGUUGACAAGUCUUUGUGACUUUGUGUAUAAUCAUUACAAGAGGACCAAUGCAUAUAAGUUUAGAAUCUAACAAAUUUAGGUAAAUGGCAUGAAUUUGAAUUCUUGCAUUUGCGGUAAGGAAUUGGGAUUGUGAAAUGAGAAUUAUUGGAAUUAUGUUCAAUCGAUCUAUUUCACAAAGUAAAGAUCAUAGACAAACUUAGUAUGCAUACUUGGUGUAUGGCAUAACUAAUGUUUAGACAAACAUAGUGUGCAUACUUGGAUACUUGGUGUAUUGCAUGACUAGUGUUUAGAAAACAUAGUGUACAUGCUUGUAGCAUGGGACAUCUAUUGUUUGAAUUCAAAUAUAAAGUUGAUAGUUUGAAACAAUAUGCAACGAAUGAUGGGUAAUCAAUAUGGUGAUAAAUAAAAGAUGUUUUAUUUAUAAUUAUAAGUUCUGAGACCAUAUUGGAUUUGAUUAUUCUUGUGUUUAACUUUGCAUGUUUUGACUUCCAGAAUAACUAGGUCGUUCUUCCUGAUUGACUAAGUAAUUCAAACAUAGAGAUAUGAUAUGGUACUAUGAGUUGGUUAUACAUUGAUUGCACGAAACUGCAUUUUUAACUCGAUGUUAUAAAACGUGACUUUGUAUAUGAUUCAAAAAGUAGUAGAACAAGCCAUAUGAGUCGAUGUUUAUUCAUUCCUUUUACCUUUGGGACAAGUCAGGACUAAUGUGAUUUGUUCAAUUAGUCGGUCAUCAUAAAUCGGAAAUCAGGAAACAACAAAUGGAUAGAAAGAAUGAUUUAAAAUCCAUGUCUCAGUCUAUAUGAUAUCUAAAAUGGAGGAAUAUAUGAUCCCUUAUCUAAUGGACAAGUCAUUGAUAAAGGUCAGAGUUCAUCGACAAGGUUAGAGUUCGACAACGGCUUUUGAGAGCUACGAUUGCCAGUUAGGUUUUGAAGUCAUACUCAAAUAAUAGUUUUAGACUUAUCUAAGUGGGAGACUGUUGGAUUAGUGUCUAAGUGCAUAACUAUAUUUAGUAUGUACUUGACCCGAUUCGACAUGGUCCAUUUGGGUUGCAUGGCAUCAUGCAUUGGAUAGACUAAAAUGAGAGAAAUAACACUUAAGGUUUGGUAAUAUACUAUAAGUUCUAAUAUAUUAAUAAGAUUAUUUAAUUAGUAUUGAUCAAGAAUUAAUUUGGAAUUAAUUAAGCGAUCAAAAGGAGACUAAUUAAAUAUAUGGGUUGAUUAUGUAAAUCAUCCAUACUUGUAUAGUGGGCUAAUGCUCCAUGGAUUAUCUAGUUGGGCUAAACCCCAUAGGAUGCUCCAUGGUGUUUUUGUACCCAUGGAUCAUGGAAAUGAAAGGCCAUGACAAUUAGGGUUUACAUGGUGUAACCCUAACUGUGACACACUAUAUAAGCAUCUUAUUCUUGUGAAAAUCAGCCACCAUGAGAGACUAUGAAGGAAUGGUGAUGGCUAGCCGAUUUCAUGAAGUGUAUCAUUUCUCUCUAAGUUAUUCCAUGUGUAUUUGAUGUUGAGCUUCACGGAGUUAAGCUACAUCAACAAGGUAUGUAUUUCUAUCUAGUUUAUUAUUCAAGUAUCAAAAGAUGGUAUGCUAGUUAGGGUAAUACCUUGGAAUAUUCAUAUUUGCAUGUAUAAUAGAGAAAAGAUAGAUCCAAGGUAUUUAGGGUUGCUUGUACACUUAGGAGUGUUAGAAUGCUCAAAACCCAUAGCUUCCUCUUUCAUUCUAAACUCUCUGGAUCGAUAAGGGUCUCUCAAAGGGAAGGGUGGUUGCAAAUGAAGGCCAUAAGGGCUUUUAAAUAGGUCUCAUGUCCAAUGAUUUAGGGUUUCUGUCCACAACGCGGACUCGUCGAGUCCCUUCAUUAAUCCGAGUCAUCAGUCGCGAUCUUACUCGACAAGUUUAGGCGUCAAAUCAUCGAGUCCCCCGAUCUUAACUCAAAAUAAAUAGUUAAAUUAUGAUACCUGGAAAUCCGGAUGUUACAGAGCCGUAGUACUCACUAGUCAGUGAGAGAAUGUUGUGAUGCUACGGGGAGCCGUAGUAUUCACUAGUCAAUGAGAGGAUGUUGUGAUGCUACGGGGAGCCGUAGUACUCACUAGUCAGUGAGAGGAUGUUGUGAUGCUACGGGGAGCCCUAGUACUUACUAGUCAGUGAGAGGCUGUUGUGAUGCUACAAGGAGCUGUAGUACUCACUAGUCAGCAGGAGAUUGUAGGGAUGCUGCGGGGAGCCGUAAUACUCACUAGACAACGAGAGAAUGUUGUGAGGUGUACUCUCUGGUCAGAGCAAGACGUAGAUGAGCGUUAGGCUUGGGUAGCCCUAUUAUCUGAGUUUUUGGGAGCCUUGUGGUCGAACCAGAGGAGAGACUAGGGUCUCUAUAUUUGUUGGGAAUCGUUAUACUCUAAUUUGAGUUGUGGUUGUCACGACCCAAAAGAAUUGGAGAAGCGGUAUACGCACGGGUUGCGGGUCAUGAGUCUUGAUUUGAGCGCUUCUUUGGGUCAAGUGGUUCCUGU